CUAAAAAAAGGUUGACGCACAAGCAGUGACUGUUGGAUGGCCAUCCAACGGCCUCGUGCUUCUUCAAUCUCUGCUCUUCCUACUCCAGCCGCUCAAACAAGCGCCGGCGGGACUGCCUGCUCCCUCCUUCCCGCGGCCGGCUCUGCUGCCACGCAGGCCUCACCGCCCCACCGUACUCCCAUCGCUGGCCUAGCCAUCCCUCUACUCACCCACACCUGCUGUUAUUCUCCGGCGACGGCAGACAAACCAGUAAACCCUCGUACAGUCGUACUCCCCUCCGCGUGGGAAACAACUGCCGAGUCUUCCCUGCCUCCGUGUCGUUCCCUUCCUAGGCCUCGCCGUCGUCCACCGCCCUGGUGCUCUCGGCGCGGCCUGGUCAACGUGGUCAACGACCGACAUGCAUCUGAAGUGGACUGUACGUGGAGAGGCCGACAGCUGGGUCCACGGCCGCACGCAAGGAAAUGCCUCCUUAUUACGCGCAAAAUAAUGAUUCCUCCACCUGACAUCAGGGACCCACCGAAAGGGCCUCUGUAUUUCGCGAAAAAAACGUUACCGCCGCUGACAGCUCGGACCCACCAGCUAUAUCUUCGCAUGCAAGGAAGUGCCUCCUUAUUACGCACAAAAAAAUGAAUACUCCUCCUGUUAGCUGGGACCCAGUAUAGUGGCAGGCUGACUUGUGGGCCUACUAAGUUGACGGGGACGGAGGGCUUUGUCAACUUAGUCAAUAUGCACGAUUCUAGCUCCAGUGACCGUACGAUGUCCAUCCAACGGCCGUAGUGCUUCUUCAACCUCUGGUCUUCUUGCUCUAGCCGCCCAAACUAGCGCCAGUCGUGCCUCGUGCUCCUGCCUCCCGUGGCCGGCUGCGAUGCGGCGGAGGCCUCACCGCCCCCUACUACUCCCACCGCUGGCCAGGCCAUCCCUCUACUCACCCACACCCCCUGUUAUUCUGCGGCGACGGCAGCGUCACACCGCAGCGAACCAGUGAACCCUCGUACUCCUCUACGCGUGGGCAUCCACUGCCGUGUCUUCCCCGGCUCCGUGUCGUCCCCUUCCUAGGCCUCGCCGUCGUCCACCGCCCUGGUGCUCUCGGCGCGGCGUGGUCAACGUGGUCAAGGAACGGCUUCCAUCGGACGUGGACUGUACGUGGAGAAGCUGACAGCUGGGUCCACGGCCGCAGCAAGGAAGUGCCUCCUUAUUACGUGCAAAAUAAUUAUUCCUCCACCUGACAGCGGGGACCCACCAGACGGGCCACCGUAUUUCACGAAAAAAACGUUUGCCCCUGACUGCUGGGACCCACCAGCUACAUCUUUGCACGCAAGGAAGUGCAUCCGGGCAAAAAAAAAAACGAUUCGCCCCCCUGACUGCUGGGACCCACCAGCUACAUCUUCGCAGGCAAGGAAGUGCCUGACAGUCGGGACCCACCUGGUUGAAGCGUACGUAGCGUUGUCAUUCUGGUCGCGAACGUGUACGUACAUAUAUACUGGUGGAUGUAGAGGCACGCACGUAGCAUGUACACAUACGUACAGCAGCCAGGGUGCAAGAAAGAAAAUACGUCCACGUAUGUGUACAUACGGGCGGGGUCUCGAACGCCUAUUCGCGCAUACGUACGGCCAGGGCUCGUGUACAUGGUUGGGUCGGAACGGAGAAACAGCGUCGUCGUCGUGUUCAUGGGGAGGCAACGGAAUGCGUCGUGUUCAUGGGGAGGCAACGGAAUGCGUCGUGUUCAUGGGGAGGGGUGUGGCGUACCGCAAAACGGCGUAAACGGACCUCCUACGGUCGAAACGGGGGUCCUGUUGAUCGGGAGGAGUGUGGCAUACCGCAAAACGCAGGAAACGGACCUCCUACGGUUGAAACGGGGGUCCUGUUGAUCGGGAGGGGUGUGGCGUACCGCAAAACGGAGGAAACGGACCUCNNNNNNNNNNNNNNNNNNNNNNNNNNNNNNNNNNNNNNNNNNNNNNNNNNNNNNNNNNNNNNNNNNNNNNNNNNNNNNNNNNNNNNNNNNNNNNNNNNNNNNNNNNNNNNNNNNNNNNNNNNNNNNNNNNNNNNNNNNNNNNNNNNNNNNNNNNNNNNNNNNNNNNNNNNNNNNNNNNNNNNNNNNNNNNNNNNNNNNNNNNNNNNNNNNNNNNNNNNNNNNNNNNNNNNNNNNNNNNNNNNNNNNNNNNNNNNNNNNNNNNNNNNNNNNNNNNNNNNNNNNNNNNNNNNNNNNNNNNNNNNNNNNNNNNNNNNNNNNNNNNNNNNNNNNNNNNNNNNNNNNNNNNNNNNNNNNNNNNNNNNNNNNNNNNNNNNNNNNNNNNNNNNNNNNNNNNNNNNNNNNNNNNNNNNNNNNNNNNNNNNNNNNNNNNNNNNNNNNNNNNNNNNNNNNNNNNNNNNNNNNNNNNNNNNNNNNNNNNNNNNNNNNNNNNNNNNNNNNNNNNNNNNNNNNNNNNNNNNNNNNNNNNNNNNNNNNNNNNNNNNNNNNNNNNNNNNNNNNNNNNNNNNNNNNNNNNNNNNNNNNNNNNNNNNNNNNNNNNNNNNNNNNNNNNNNNNNNNNNNNNNNNNNNNNNNNNNNNNNNNNNNNNNNNNNNNNNNNNNNNNNNNNNNNNNNNNNNNNNNNNNNNNNNNNNNNNNNNNNNNNNNNNNNNNNNNNNNNNNNNNNNNNNNNNNNNNNNNNNNNNNNNNCACGGGGUCCUGUUCAACCACCCCUCCACGGGCACCCCUCCACCGUCUACUGUUCAUCCAGCCCUCCACACCACGGGGUCCUGUUCAACCACCCCUCCACGGGCACUCCACCGUCUAUUGUUCAUCCAGCCCUCCACCACACCACGGGGUCCUGUUCAUCCAGAGGCAACGCCACCGCUCACUGUUCAUCCAAACCCCCCCGCAACGCUCACUGUUCAUCCCAGAGGCAGCAUCGAUCGGCUUCAGUUAGCAGCAGUAGCGAAGGAACCGCUCGAUCGGGUUUAGUUAACAACAAUCGAUCGAUCGCUCGGGUUCAGUAACGCGUAGCCUGCAGUGCAAUCGCUCGGGUUCAGUUAGAGCCCAACGCCUCGCUCGGGUUCAGUUAGAGCCAACGCCUCGCACACACGCGCGUACGUGUACGAGAGAAACGCGCAUCGCUCGGCCCACGACCUCCCACCGUAACCGGGAACUCCCCGAAAUUUUCCUCGCCCUCGCUUCUACCACGGUUUUCUCCGUCAUGGACGGCCCAAAGAAUGUCAUGCAGCUGCGUCUCCGGCCCGCCCAGGACGAAAAGCCCAUUUUCUGUCAUGAUUUUUUGUCAUAGAAGUAGGAGCCCACCACAUCUAUGAUGAUACCGGGUUUUGUCACAAUUAUCGUCAUAGACGUGUCAUAUGUAUGACAGAAAAAAAAUUCGUUCGGCCCAAAAUGUCACGGAUGUGUCUUUUUAUUGUAGUGUAAAAACGGCUACAGGGGCCGGUUGCAAUCCAGAGACAAGAAGUAUUGCAGGUAUUGCAAGAAAGACGGGCAUGACAUCUCAGAGUGUUUCAAGUUGCAGAACAAGGAAAAGAGAAAAGGUAACAAACAAGGUGACAAUUCUGCUAACGUUGCUCGUGAUGAUAGUUCCGAUGAUGCUCUUGUCGUUAUUACUGGAUGUGCUGAGACCAAUGAUGAGUGGGUACUUGACACUGCAUGUACUUUUCAUUUGUGCCCGCAUAGAGAUUGGUUUACUACUUUUGAUUCUACCACUACUGCUGGUUCCGUUUUGGGUUUUGAUAAUUCACCAUGCAAGAUUGAAGGCAUAGGUUCCAUUCGAAUCAAGAUGUUUGAUGGCACAAUCAGAACUUUGACAGAUGUUCGGUAUAUUCCUAAGAUGAAGAGAAAUCUUAUUUCUUUGAGUGCCCUUGAUGCAAAGGGGUACAAGUAUUCAAGUGGAGAUAGUGUUUUGAAGGUCACCAAAGGCUCCCUUGUUGUGAUGAAAGGUGACUUAUGUUCGACCAAUGGUCUUUAUUACCUUCGAGGUUCUACCAUUUCAGGUAAUGCUACUCCAGCUAUUUCAAAGAAUUCUUAUUGUGAUGCUGCUAACCUUUGGCAUAUGCGUCUUGGACAUAUGAGUGAACUUGGUUUAUCAUGUGAGCAUUGUAUCUUCGGAAAGCACAAGAGGGUGAAGUUCAACACUUCGACUCAUACAACCGAAGGUAUUCUUGAUUAUGUGCAUUCUGAUUUAUGGGGACCAUCUCACAGAAAGUCACUAGGUGGUUUCUAGUUACAUGCUGACUAUUAUUGAUGAUUAUUCGAGAAAAGUUUGGCCUUAUUUCUUGAAGCAUAAAUAUGAAGCAUUCUCAGCAUUUAAGGAGUGGAAGAUUAUGAUUGAAAGACAAACUGAAAAGAAGGUAAAAAUACUUCACACUGAUAAUGGUAUGGAAUUCUGUUCUAAGCAAUUUAAGAAUUAUUGCAAGUCUGAAGGCAUUGUCAGACAUUACACCGUUCCUUAUACUCCUCAACAAAACGGUGUUGCUGAGUGUAUGAACAAGACCAUUAUUUCCAGAGCCCGUUGCAUGUUGUCCAAUACAGGUUUGCAUAGGCGUUUUUGGGCUGAGGCCACUUCCACUGCUUGUUAUCUCAUUAACCGUUCACCAUCUAUUGCUCUUAACAAGAAAACUCCAAUUGAGGUAUGGUCUAGUUCACCUGCUGAUUAUUCACAGUUGAGAGUUUUUGGUUGCACUGCUUAUGCUCAUUUUGAUAAUGGAAAAUUGGAGCCUAGGGCUAUUAAGUGCAUCUUUCUUGGUUAUAAAUCUGGUGUUAAAGGUUUUAAAUUGUGGAAUCCUGAAACCCAGAAGGUGGUUAUUAGCAGCAAUGUUAUCUUUAAUGAAUCUGCUAUGUUCCAUGAUGUUCCAUCUACUAAUGUUCCUGUUGAGAGUGAACAGCAGCCUACUGUUCAGGUGGAGCAUGUUAUUGGAACAGGUGAUACAUCUGGUAAUGAAAUUGUUGAUGCACAUGAUGAAACCAUCGUUAAUGAUGAUAAUGUCACUCCCACUCCAAAUCAGCCUAUUGUUCCGCCCAGUUGGAAUCUCGCACGUGACAGAGUUAGACGAGGUAUUAAUAAACCUGACAGGUUAAUUGAAGAGUGCAAUAUUGUUUCUUUUGCUUUGUCUGUUGCAGAAGAAAUUGAAGGUAAUGCUGAGCCUUCUUCAUAUUCCGAGGCUAUUAUUUCUGGUGAUAGUAAUAAGUGGAUGACCGCUAUGCAUGAUGAGAUGGAAUCACUUGAAAAGAAUGCCACUUGGGAUUUAGUAAAAGUUGCCUAGAGAGAAGAAACCUAUUCGUUGCAAGUGGGUUUUCAAGAGGAAAGAAGGUGUUUCUCCUAAUGAUGAGAUAAGAUAUAAAUCAAGGUUAGUUGCUAAAGGUUGCAGUCAGAUUCCAGGUAUUGACUAUAACAAAGUCUUUUCUCCUGUUGUGAAGCAUAGCUCUAUUCACACUUUACUCAGUAUUGUUGCCAUGCAUGAUUUUGAGCUUGAACAAUUGGAUGUUAAAACUGCAUUUUUACAUGGAGAAUUAGAAGAGGAUAUUUAUAUGGAACAACCUGAAGGUUUUGUUAUUCUUGGAAAAGAAAAGCUUGUCUGUAAGUUAAAGAAAUCUCUUUAUGGAUUGAAGCAAUCCCCGAGACAGUGGUACAAGAGAUUUGAAACCUUUAUGCUCUCUCAAGGUUUCAAAAGGUCUAAUUAUGAUAGUUGUGUUUAUUUAAAAACUGUCAAUGGUUCAACUAUUUAUUUGCUCCUUUAUGUUGAUGAUAUGCUUAUUGCUGCAAAGAGUAUGUCAGAUAUUAAUGAACUAAAGAAGCAAUUGAGUAAUGAAUUUGAGAUGAAGGAUUUGGGUGCAGCAAAGAAAAUACUUGGCAUGGAAAUAUCCUAGAUAGACCGUAUGUAAAAGUAUAUCUAAGUCAGAAGGGAUAUAUUGAUAAAGUUCUUCGUCGUUUUAAUAUGCAUAAUGCCAAGCCAGUAAGUACUCCAUUAGCUGCACACUUCAAAUUGUCAUCAGCUUUAUGUCCUAAGUCAGAUGCAGAUAUUGAGUACAUGUCUAGAGUUGCCUAUUCGAGUGCAGUUGGUUCACUUAUGUAUGCCAUGGUUUGUUCUCGUCCGGAUUUAUCAUAUGCAUUGAGUGUUGUCAGUAGAUACAUGGCUAAUCCUGGAAAAGAGCGUUGGAAAGCAGUUUAGUGGAUUUUCAGAUACCUGCGAGGUAGUUCUAAUGCUUAUUUACAGUUUGGGAAAACUAGAGACGGACUUGUUGGUUUUGUUGAUUCUGAUUUUGCUGGUGAUUUGGAUAAGAGAAGAUCACUCACAUGUUAUGUUUUCACCAUUGGUGGUUGUGCUGUGAGUUGGAGAGCAACUUUGCAGUCUAUUGUGGCAUGUUCCACUACUGAUGCCGAGUAUGUGGCUAUUUCUGAGGCAUGCAAAGAAGAUAUCUGGUUGAGAGGUUUGUACACUGAGCUUUGUGGAGAUUCAUCUUGCCCUACCAUAUUUUCUGACAGUCAAAGCGCCAUAUAUCUUACAAAGAAUCCAAUGUAUCAUGAGAGGACAAAGCACAUUGAUGUCAGAUUUCAUUAUAUUCGAGAUGUUGUUGCUGAAGGCAAUUUGAAGGUAUGCAAGAUAAGUACUCAUGAUAAUCCUGCUGAUAUGAUGACAAAGCCAGUUCCUACCAAUAAGUUUGAGCUUUGCUCAAGCUUAGUUGGUAUUUCUCACUAGUCCUAUGGACUUUGACGCACGAGGUGUUUAUGCUGAUUUGGAUGGAGUUAUUUACUUUCUUCGACUACUGGAGGGAAUUUGGCUCAAGGUGGAGAUUGUUAAGUUGUGAUCCAAAUUAUACCGUGUUGGACUAGACGUAGUACAACUGGUGUGGGCCUUUGCGUUGACGUCGACGCGUACGAGUACUACUCGUUUACUUGUCCUCCAAGGACUCUCAUGUAUUGCCCUCAUACAUACCCCAUGUAGUCGCACCUAAGACGGUUUGUCGUCUCGUGCUUGUAAUAUUCCUCCAUCAUAGUGAUUGCGCCUUCGUGCGUCCGUGGUUUUCUCCCGCAAGGGUUUCCACAUAAAAAUAUGUGUCUCUCUGUCUCGUUUAUUUCUCGUUAUUAUCUAACAAUUCUUGUAAGCUUUGAUUGCAUAAAGCAAUCCGCCUGCUGCCGAUAAAGCUCCAAACGCAUAAGAACCAAUUGCCACAAAAAGUGCUUCAGCUAGCCGCCAUCGGUCACUAGCAAAGUACACAGAGAACCGUCACUAGCGGAUCAUCAGAUGUGACGGAAAUCAUGAAACUGCUAAAUUAUGUUGUACAGUCAGAACAUGUUAAUAUCUAGAGGUUCAAUAAGCAACUUUAGAAGUCAACUUCUAGAGAGCCAACUGUACAGGACCCUUUCACUGCAGAUUCAGUGAGACAGCAAGGCAUAUCUGGCCCGGUGAUAUUAGACUACCAAAAGUUACAGAAGUACUUCCUCUCGAGUCACAACAAGUGGUUGGUGAUAGAACCAUUAGUUUCUAUUCUUACACAAUCCAAGUACCAUCAAUUAGAUUGUUUGCAUAUCAGACCAAACAAACCGUACGGAAGCAGUCUAUACUGAUCACUGGAAAUAGCUUGCAGGAAUUUUGCCAGAGUAGUUUUCUCUUAUGUGAUUAACCUCCACCUACCUCCAAUCUGAAAUGCAGUAAACGGCUCUUAUCCUAAAUGGACUAACAGGCGAAGUCAUCUUCAGAAAACAAGUUGCAGAUCAAGGUUGUAGCACAUAAGAGAACAAUCAUAGAUAAGAUAUCAUGAUCUAGAGUUAAUAAUCCGCAUAGGAGGGGCGGGGGAAGAGGGAGAGGUGAUGGAGGGGCGGAGGCAAUGACGUUAAAUAUUCCAAGACGAAUAGAGCUGACCUUCUUAACCGUUUUGACAUUGUAGAUAGUGUGGUGGUCCCCUCAAGAGGCAAAUCAGGAGGUCUUUGGCUGAUGUGGACAGAAGAAGUGCAAGUUCACAUUCAUUUUGUAGACUUCCAUGUAAUCCUUGCAUCUGUAGUUAAUGUAGCUUCUGGCGUUUCUUUUGCUCUUGUUUGUAUAUAUGGUGACCCAUACCAUCAUCACACUAGUGAGAUCUGGGAUCGCAUUGCCUCUUUUGUGUAUGAUAACCAAGGCAAUCCUAUCUUAUGUAUGGGAGAUCUUAAUGAUAUACUUUAUGAUGUUGAAAAAAGUUCUCCCUUAGUGAAUUACUCACGCUUGCAUGCUUUUCGUUGUAUUGUGAAACAAUGUGGUCUAAUUGAUCUAGGAUAUAGUGGCCCUGCUUAUACUUGGACAAACAAGAGGUAUGCUUCUAACCCAAUCAUGGAAAGACUUGAUAGAUGUCUGGUUAAUGCUGAAUGGUGUGCGAUGUUUCCCAAUUCCAAUGUUUACAAUCUACCUAUUAUUCUCAGUGAUCACGCUCCUAUUCUACUUUCUACUGAUGCUCAUAUACGCAAGCCCAGAAGAAACUUUAAAUUUGAAAAUUGGUGGCUUAUGGAAAAUGAUUUUCAUGAAUAUGCUAAAAAUGUUUGGAUUGCUUCUAGGAAUAAAGUUUUCCACAAUAGGACAACUAACCUUGUAGGAUCUUUGAGAGCUUGGUGCAGAAAGAAAAAGUCAAUUCAAUAGGAGCUGGAAAUCUUAGGUGAGCAAAUCAAAAGUAUUCAAAUAAAGCCACCACAGGUACAUAAUCACUCUCUUGAGGCCUCUCUGAUUUAUAAGUACGAGCAAAACAUGACUAGGUUAACUGAGUAUUACAGGCAAACAUCUAAAAAACAUUGGGCUAUCAAUGGUGAUAGAAACACUACUUAUUUCCAUCAUGCUGUUCUUAAAAGGAGGAGGAAAAACAGAAUUGUUUCUAUUAAGGAUGAGAAUGAUAAUAUUCAAAUUGAGCCUCAUGUUAUUGCCAAGACUUUCAUCAAUUAUUUUCAGAAUCUUUUUUCCUCCUCUAAUGUGAGUCAUGGCAAGCCUUACAUGCGCACAUCCUAUCAGCAAGAUGAAGGCGAUUUUACUUAUAGCAUCCCCGAUAAAAAAGAGAUUCUGGAGACCUUAAAAGACAUGAAAAGGAAUGCUUCACCGGGACCAGAUGGAUUCAAUGUGGAGUUCUACUUUGCAGCAUGGGAAUGGAUAGGUGAUGAUAUAACCAAGGUAGUCAAAGACUUCUACAUACAAGGUACUCUCCCUAAUCACAUGAAUGAUACUCAUAUUGUUUUGAUUCCCAAGAAAAUUGCUCCCCUGGUCCCUCAAGAUUUUAGACCAAUUAGCCUUUGCAAUGUGAUUUACAAGAUCAUUGCUAAAACACUUGCAAACAGGCUUAAACCACAUUUGUCUAACUAUAUUCAUCACUCUCAACAAGCUUUCAUUCCUGGUAGGAGGAUUAGCAAUAACAUCAUCAUUGCUCAGGAAUUUACUCAUUCCUUUAAUCUUAAAUCUUGGAAAAUCCUGCUUUUAUGGUUAAAAUAGAUCUUGCUAAGGCCUUUGAUAGGAUCGAAUGGGAUUUCAUUGUUAAGGCGUUAACUCGUAAGGGGAUGCAUGCUCAUUUCAUAAAUUUAAUAUAUGCUUGCAUGGCUAUUCCCACCUCCUCUGUCAUCAUUAACGGUCAAUCUUAUGGCCGCUUUCAGAGUAGUAGAGGUAUCAGGCAGGGUUGUCCAUUGUCCCCUUAUUUGUUUGUCUUGGCCAUGAAUGAGCUAUCAGCAUCUUUGUAGGAAGCCAUGUUCGCUGACCACUUAUCAGGAAUUACUCUGGGACCAGGAUGCCCACCUAUUCACUCCUUAAUAUUUGCUGAUGAUUUACUGAUAUGUGGUCAUGCCAUAGUUACAAAAGCUACUCAUAUGCACCAAAUCCUUCAAAGCUUUUGCAACGUUUCAAGGCAAAUGCCAAACUGGAGCAAGUCAGCUAUUAUUUUCAGCAGGAAUGUAGACGACAUCAAUAAGGAGGAUAUUAAGAGAAUUUUCCCGGUGCAGGAAAUUAUCGACAAUUCUAUCUAUUUAGGGCACCCAUUAAUUCUCCCUGAUAAGGAUAGAUCUAGUGCCUAUAACUUUGUUGCUGAUAAGUUUAAAGUUAAAUUGACUGGUUAUAAGGCUAAUAUACUUUCACAUGCAGUGAGAUUAACUUUGAUCAAUUCAGUUUUUGCUUCCAUACCUGUAUACUAUAUGUCAAAUAUACUUUUCUCAAGAAAACUAGUUGCCAAACUUACUACUAUCAUUAGAAUUUUUUGGUGGACAGGAAUAAAAGAAGAUCAAUCCAAGAGAGCUCUUUGUUUCAGGGCAUGGAAGGACAUUUGCACCCCAAAAGUAGAAGGGGGUCUUGGAGUCAAGAACAUCCAAGCAGUUAACAGAGGCCUAAUCAUGUCGGCGGCUUGGAGAAUUACGGACGAACCACAAAGCUUCUUGUCACAGGUACUUAAAUCUAAAUAUUUCCUGAGACUUCUAUUUGGAGAGCAAAAAGCAACAUUGCAAAAUCAGGUUUUUGGGCUUCAAUUCUUAAGGUAAGACACAUUCUUCAAUCAAAUUCAAUCUAUGAAAUUCUUGAUGGCAAUUCCUCCAUUUGGAGCACUCCUUGGUUUCCUCAUUGGCAAUCUAUUUAUGAGCACUUAAAAAUAGAAUCGGGGCAUUAUGUCUAUCCUUCUCAGAUCAAGGAUUUAUGGAACCAAAAUCAAAGUACAUGGAAUGCUAGACUUAUUUAUAAUCUUUUUGAUCAUGAGGUGGCUAAUAGCAUCAUACAGGUACCGAUUAUUCAACAAGAGGGAAUUGAUAUCCUUUGCUGGAGAUUGCGUCCUUUAGGGAAAUGUAUUUCAAAAUAUGCUUAUAAAGCAUGUCUUCAAGACUUGCAACAGCAGGGGUCUCCAUUGCCUAGACAGGUACCACAAGAGAUUAAACAACUACUCAAGCAGGUUUGGAAAGAGAAGACUAUGGUUCCAAGAGUACAUGCUUUUGCUUGGAGGCUAUUGAGGAAAGCACUUCCAACAGGUAUGAGAGCAGGGAAAUAUUCCAAACAUAUUAAGCAAAGUUGCAUUAGAUGCGAACAGGAUGAAGAUGACAUGCAUCUUUUCUUUACUUGCCCCUUUGCUAGAGCAGCUUGGGUAGCUCAUCCUUGGUUUAUUAAAUCUGAAAUUCUUUCUAACAAUUAUGCUAGUAUUGCAGAUAUUAUCAAUGCUCUUCUUAACUCAGGGCAUCCACAGGCCUAUCUCACAAAUAUAAUGACUUUUCUUUGGUGCAUAUGGAAAGCGAGGAAUGAUUCUCUUUUCGUCAGGAAAGAGACCAAGCCUAUACAGGUAUUCCAAAUUAUGCAGGCCAUUCUAAAUAAUUAGGAGUUAACACUUCAAUCAAAACAAGCAGGGUAGGGUAUUAGUCAAGAUGAGCAUAGCAACAACGUACUCCUAAGAUCACAACAACAGGAUAUAAUGCAAGCUACUGGCCCAAAUUGCAAAGUCUUUACGGAUGCAGCAUGGAAACCUGAUACACAAAACACCACAUGCAUAGGAAUUUUCAUACAGAUGGCUGGAAAACAUCAAGAAGUCAAUAUCAGUAUUCGUUUAUCCGAGGAGCAAAUCGCGUCGCCUCUCCAAGCAGAAGCUACAACACUUCAAGUAGCUGCCCAAGUGAUCAAUACAAUCACAACAGGAGACACCAUCUUCUUCACGGAUAAUCAAGUUUUGGCUUAGGCUACACAAGCAAGAGAUAUCCUUAAAUGCCCUGGUCAUUGGGAGAUUAGAAGCCAACUGGCAAAUUUCUUUAGCUCUACUAGCAAGGCUCAGAUAACCGUUAGACACAUUCCCAGGGAGCUUAAUAGUAGGGCUCACAACAAUGUGGCUAGAGCAUACUUCUCAGAAUCAAAUAUUAGUCCUAUGCUUCUGAAGCUAGGCAAUCAUCAGACAUUGUAAAACCAUGGUUGUAACUUGUUCUUCAUAUUAAUGCAUAGGCGCCUAAGGCGCCACUUCUUUGUCCAAUUUUUUUUUUUAAAAUAAAAUAAAAUUAUGGAACCACGGGUUCUGCACCGUUUCCUUUUAUUUUUCAUAUAUAGAACAAAAAAAAGAAGGGAAACGUUGAGCGUCAACCGGUUGAAAUCAAUCAACACGUCCGCCACCUCCUUUAAGCAUCACAUGCCCUCAAGGCCCCACUCAAGGAAACACGAGGAGAACCUCUUCGUGUAGAAAACAUCAUGUUCCUCUCUACGUCUCUCAUCUAUAUGUUUUCUGCAACAUUACAUAUGUUGUAAAAGUUAUUCCACAACACUACCCUUGUUGUACAAAAAAAAGAGAAGACGGAAUAAAAAUCCUGCAACACAACCUAUGUUGCAAAAAAUAAACCCUGCAACACAACCUAUGUGGCAAAUAAAUAUAUUCCCGCAACACAACUUAUGUUGCAAAAAAAUUGACAACGCAACCUAUGUUGCAAUGUUUCUGCAACAAGAGUUUUGUUGCAAAGUAGAAGAAGACGUCCGGCUGCUAAAUAGAUCAGAUCUGAUGGUCCGCAAGGCGACGGAUCAUUUAAAAAAAUCUGUCGGCCGACGCGUAGCAAGCCCCCAAAAAGAAACAUUUUCUUCUUAUAAACCAAAAAAAAACAUUUGAGAUAGGAUAAGUAAACCACCUCAUCCGGGAAGGAUACAUUUUUGGAAGCAAUUUGUCGUCAGAGCAUGUGGGUCUCUACCGUCAGCUUCUUCAUGUAGAUUGUAGAGUCAUCUUCCGAGGGCUCUCGUUUGUUUACCACAUUGACCACACUGUGUCAAGCACAUCAAGGCGAUGGGAACACGAACAAUUUUGACACCUAAACAAAAUUUUGAAACCUGAACAAUUUUUUAGAAAGUAUUCCCGCUUCAAUAUUUUAUUCAGGUUUCAAAUUUUGUUCCCAUUUUUCUAAAAAUAUAUGUUUGAAAAAAAUGUGUUUUAAAAAGCUGUUCGCACUUUAAAAUUUUGUUCAGGAUUCAAAAAUUUGUUCCCAUUUUUUACAAAAUAUGUUUAUGUUUCGAAAACUCGUUUGCACUUUAAAAUGUUAUUCAGGAUUCAAAAGUUGUUUGCACUUUAAAAUUUUGUUCAGGAUUUAAAGUUUGUUCCAAUUUUUCACAAAAAAGUAUAUGUUUCACAAAUGUUCAUGUUUUGAAAAAUUGUUCGCACUUUAAAAUUUUGUUCAGGUUUAAAAAAUUGUUGCUCUUAAUAAAAUAUUCGGGGAUUUCGAUAAUGGUUCAGGUUUUCAAAAUUUCUUUGUGAUUCCAAAACAUGUUCAUAAUUCAAAAACAAAUUCACAUUUUUGCAUAUAAUGUUUGGAAUUUUGAAAAUUGAUUGUUAGUAUUUAGAAUAUUAGGAUUUCGAAAUUAUUCAUAAUUUUCAAAAAAAUCUGAAAAAUAUUUUAAAAAUAUAUGUUUUCAAAUCUCAACGCUGCGGUAUAUGGUUAAACAUUUUCGCGCUUCUCAUUUGUAACCAAGAGUCAUUAGUUAGAGUGGAUAGCAGGAGUAGUUCAGCAGCUAGGUCGCAAUGUGAGUAUCACGUUUUUUUUCUUCGUAUUUUUGAAGUGUCAUCUUACUAAAAAGAAAAACAUGGUUCGCGUCUGGUGGACCGGCUCGGUCGCGUUCAGACGCAAAUCGACCUGCUACGGCAACAAUCCCGUUGAGAACACGUUCAAGGUUCAAAAUUGACCUGUAUCAGAGAGUUUGAUGUGCUGAUUUCAGGGAUUUAAACUUCUACGUUGGAUUUAGCCUUCGUCUACGAGUUCAAGGUUUAUUUUGGGUGUUUUUCUCAAAUCUCGAGGAGCCUUAGACACUCGCAUAUAAAAAAAUGAUAAACGCAUUGGCUUAUUACGGGGAGAUUACGGGCCCUUCCUUCUAAUUCUCUUCAACCCCUGAUUUUCAGGUGGGUAGGGCCCCUCCCUCUCCCCUAAUCCAAUAAGCACCUAAGAAGUUACAAACACUACGUAAAACCCCCGUGUUAUUCAGUGGAUGUAGCAUUGUUGAAAAAAAAGGCAAAUUGUGUUAGGCGGGCAACGCACAUGCACCAACACAUCAAAAUCUAAGGGCAUGUACAAUGGUUAAUAAAAACGUCUUAUCUUAAACUUGCAUGUAAUUCAGAUAUGACAAUAAGUACAUGGCUAAAAUGAGUUAUCUCUUAGUCUUAUCUUCAAUAACUACUAUUCCUAAAAAUAUGGUUAGACAUAUUAUGCUAAGAAACCAUCUCUUAAAUAAGAGGAAACAAACUUUUUCUUAUGAUUUCUUUCUUUUCCACCUUAGCAUUUAUCUUAUAUGGAACCGUUAAGAUGGCACCAUUAUACAAUUAUACAUGCCUAAGGCUAGUCAUAGUGGGAGUAACUUAGCUAGUAACAUAACGCACUCUAAGAAAUUGUUGCUUAUGUGACACAUAUUUAAUGAGAAGUGGUAACAUAAUAUGUUACUAUAACAUAACGCUUCCCAAGACAAGAUGAGUCUACAAGGUAAUAAAUGAAGUUCUCUAUGACACUACUACUAUAUUACUUUGCAUUAUAAAGGUAGUAACUUAGGGGGUGUUUGUUUCCAGGGAUUUUUUUGUGUAGGGACUAGAAAAAAUCCCUCUUAGAGACUUUUUUACCAAACGGGAGGGGCCCUACGCGAGGUCGAGGGACGCGACGGAGUCCAAGGUCAUCCUCCCGGCGACCCCGGCGUGGUUGUGCAGGACGUCGAGCCGGCCGUGGCGCGCCACCGCGAGGUCGACGGCCGCGGCGAUCUGCUCCUCGUUGGUCACGUCGCAGCGGGCGUAGGAGGCGUCGGGGCCGAGCUCGGCGGCGACUGCGCGGCCGAGGUCGUCCUGGAUGUCGGUGAGGAUGACCUUGGCGCCGUUCCUGACGAACUCCGCGGCGGUCGCCUUGCCCAUGCCGCUGGCGGCGCCGGUGAUGAUGGCCUCUAGCCUGCACCGUUCUCCCCACAGCAAACACACUUAAUUGCGGCCUCUAGCCUGCCAUUGGCGACGCCACGGCAUAACUCAAACGAGAACCAACAAGAGGAAACUAAGAUUCCAUGGUAAUAUGGCAUGGCAUGCACCUCUCGGAACUCGGGCCCGACGAGAUUGCCACCGCGGCGGCGCUCAUCUUACCCCUGCAUUCCCAACCACAUCAGUUUGGGAGGCACGAAAGCUCUGGUGUUCUUCCAAGAGGCAGAGAUUCAGUAUGCAGUUUAUUUGAAACAAAAUACUAGUACCUCAGAAGAAGAUGGUGCGCCAUUGCUCUAAACAUCUUAAGUAGAUUGUUCUAGCUAGCUCUGCUGAUUUGCAUGUGAUAAGCUAGCUAGCUAUAGCAGUGAGCCACUCAGUUCAGUACGGUCGUGAGCAGAGCAGUACUAAUUGCUUUAAAUUAUGACGAGGAGAGGACUGGAGAGACGGUGGCAGACCACCAAACAGGAUGAACAGUGGGUAUUGUACUAUCUCAAUGUUUGGGUAUUGUACUAUGUUUCUUUUAAGGCAAUUUGUUGCCAAGGCUUAAACUUUCUAGCGACGUGAAAGCAUAGAUUUGAUCUCUGAUGGAAAAAAAUAGUGCAACUAUCUAUACCCAAUAAUCAGAUAAUCAAAAUCUUGGUGCUGAUUGAAAAUCUAAAAGAAAAAAAACUCAACCAAAAUGAAAAGAGAAUAUCAAUAGCCAUGUAGGUCAGAAACGCAGGACAUUUUUUUUCAAAUCACAACAGAAUAUAUUUGAAAACAUAUUUCUUACAGUCCAUGCAGCUACAAACCAAACCACACUAAUUAUAGUUACUUUUAAUCUACGUUAAUUAUAAUUUACAUUAUUUUGGUUACACACUCCCUUCACGACACCCUGAGUUAUACUCCCUCUGUAAAGAAAUAUAUGAUCGUUCAGAUCACUAAUCUGUAAAGAAAUACUCCCUCUGUAUCUUAUAUUUCUCUACAGAGGGAGUAUAAGUGUUUAGAUCAAUAAUAAUGAUAUAAACACUUUUAUAUUUCUUUACAAGGAAGUACCUAGUGUAGAAAAAACAUACAUUGAAGGAACAAUCAAUGCUUAUAACAGGAGAAAGAAAAGCACGACAAAAAGAACAUGCAAGUGCACCUGUCUAUUAGAGUAAUGCUAGACCUACUUAAAGUAACGUAUGGUUUUUACGUGAUAGAAAACGUGGAGACUUGGGAUUGGAUUGAAUGGGGUGGGAUGGUCCCACACCCAUGAAAAUCAGGAGGGCAAGAGAAUUAAUUAGCUAGGUUACGUAGGAUUUAGUAGAUGAAUUACGUAGGUGUAGCAUUUUCGUGUCUAUUAUGAAGCUGUCUGUCAAUAUAUAUAUCUGCCCUUUGGAAAUGUAUGCCGUAAGAUCAGGAGUUGGAUGAGUGAUAUCUGUUGAGGAAACGAACAAAAGGUUAGGCAUGACAAUACGAUCUACAGGGAAGCAAGACUACUAAUCCACUGGGUAGAAAUCAAACCUAAAAUUUAUUGGUUGAGGAGCCCACAUGACCCCCUUCUAAUAUUGCGACAGGGCAAAUUCUUUAGAAGAAAAAUUAUUAGGUCUAUAUGUGUUGUAUUUGAAAUCGAACAAUCUAUUUUUUUUGCUAAAACCUCUAGUAUGUAGGAUUUCAAAAAGGAAUUCCCACUUCAGACAGUCAUACUCGUUUUUGUAAUCAAGUUUGAUGAUCACCGAUGGUUCUUUCGCUUGGUGGAUGCUAUGUACCACUUCGUGAGCCACCACAAGACUUUCUAGAAUAUUUCUACCUCUAAUGAAAGUGUUUUGCUACUGAGAAAUCAGUUGUUGAGUAAUCUUUCCAUGCAUACUUUAUUUUCAAGGUCGCAUUAUAGCUAUCCAUGUCAAUUUUUACUUUCGAGGUGGAACCAUAAUGGUAAUGCUAGGUAUAUUUGACCACAAGGAUAAAAUACUUUGAGGUGCAAUGACAUAAUUAGAUUUAGAUAACAAACUAGGUGAAGGUGGUUUUGGCACAGUAACCACCAACUACUCAUCGUUAAGAGACUAUCACAAAGUUCUCGACAGGGGAUAAACGAGUUGACAAUGGAGUUGCUUUUGCUUGCUAAGCUACUACACAAAAACUUAGUGAGAAUUGCCGGUGCUCGUUUUGAGGAGCAGGAGAACUUGAUUGUUUACGAGUAGCUCCCCAACAAGAGUCUAGACGACCACAUCUAUGCUAUGUUUUUUUGUUACUCUUGGUCAUAGUACCAUGGCAAUCCGUCUAUGGCGUGUCGUGCAGGGGCGGAGCUAUGUGUUAGCCUGAGAGGGCCAUUGCCCCCCUCCCCCACCCCCACACAUCUUUAAACCAAGUUGUGAACAAAAAGUUUAUGGGAGGGCUUAGAUGAAAAUCUUCAAGCAUCCUCCCACCACAAACACUCAUAUUCUAUCUUUUCCCUCCCUAGAAGGUGUUGUGCAUGCAUUUUUAGAUACAAAUGUCCUAUUUGACUGUGACGAAACGAAAAAUCUCAUACUUUGGGUUAGCAAGGGGUUUUGGAGGCAACAGAUCACACGAGGUGAGACACAAGGUGUACUCCCGAGGAUCAUGACACCUUUGACCUCUGAUCUAAUCCACCAAGUCGCCCGGUGAGUGGUCCAUGAUCAUAGUAGAGGCGUCACUGAAGGUCAUGCACCUGCUCGUACACACUAAGACUGGCGCAACGACGCACGCCAGUCAUGAUAUAGUACAUACUAAGAGAGGUAUGUACUAAGACAUCUUAACUCUUCCAAAUACUACCUCCGUCCGGGAUUAAAAGUUACACAAUAGUAACAUAGUUACACACUAAUCAUGUGGCAGGCGCAAGGAUCUCGAGAUGUCAGCCCAAAAUUCCCUGCACGGUUAGCCCAAUACCAGGCGGGGAUCAUGUAGUAUUGGUCUAACAGUCUCACAAAGAUGAAUGCAACACAGGCGAUCGAGAAAGUUGAACCAUCCUGCACAGUUGAGCAUUGAGGCCGGAGUUGUACGACCUAAGGGCCAAGCCNNNNNNNNNNNNNNNNNNNNNNNNNNNNNNNNNNNNNNNNNNNNNNNNNNNNNNNNNNNNNNNNNNNNNNNNNNNNNNNNNNNNNNNNNNNNNNNNNNNNNNNNNNNNNNNNNNNNNNNNNNNNNNNNNNNNNNNNNNNNNNNNNNNNNNNNUUUUUAAUUAUUGUAGAAGCGAACGAAAUCAUUGAUCAUAAACAUCCAAUAAUGUUGUAUUUUCUUCAAAUGGAUAGCAGAAGAAUCUUUUUAUUUUGUACACGACAUCAGUUGUUUAGCUUGAUGAGGCGCGCGGUGAGGCUAGGAGGCUGCUAACUAUGCACACGUGCAUCUCUUAGAGUAUGACAAUGGCAACAAGUGCACUUCCGUUGCAUGCUCGAUCACUUAGCUGAGCUGGCUACCUGUCAAUCGUCGUCACUCUCUCGCUCUCUUUGAUCCAUCGUCAGCUGAGCUCGCCCUCCCUCUCUCACGCUCUUAUCUCUCCAUCAGAUGUAGCUGAAAGCUGAAUAAAACUGUUGCCUAUUGAUGAUUUGGUGCGGCAUACAAGAGUAUAUAAGAGGGUACAAACCGACUUGGGGUAGGGGUACAAAACUGACUUGGACUAGAAGUCGUAUACCAUAAUGACUACUCUAACAUCCCCCCGCAGUAUCAACGGCAGGCUCGACGACGUUGAGACUGAAACAUAUAUCUUGAAACGGCUUAGUAGGCAGUGCCUUGGUGAAAAUGUCAGCAAACUGAGCCGUAGAGGGAACAUGAAGCACCCGAACCUGACCAAGAGCAACCUUUUCACGAACAAAAUGAAUAUCAAUCUCAAUAUGCUUUGUGCGUCGGUGUUGAACUGGAUUGCUAGUCAUGUAGACUGCUGAUAUGUUGUCACAGUAGACAAUAGUGGCCUGCUCAAUAGGCCUGUGUAGCUCGGAGAGUAACUGCCGAAUCCAGAUUGUAUCUGCAAUGGCAUGUGCCACAGCGCGAUACUCAGCCUCGGCCGACGAAUGUGAGACUGUAACCUGUCUUUUCGAAGACCAACAAAUCAAAUUGUUACCAAGAAAAACACAAAAACCGGAAGUGGACCUUCGAGUGUCAGGACAACCAGCCCAGUCUGCAUCAGAGUAUGCGGUAAGCGAGUUUGGAGAAGAAUUAUUGAGGUGGAGACCAUGAUUGAGAGUUCCUUUUAAAUACCGAAGAAUGCGUUUAACAUGAUUAUAGUGAGGAACCCGGGGAUCAUGCAUAUAGAGACAUGCUUGUUGAACAGCAAAAGAGAUUUCAGGACGAGUAAUGGUGAGAUAUUGGAGAGCACCUGUUAGGCUACGAUAGAGAGUAGGAUCGGAAAAGGGUUCACCGGUAGCCGAAAGUUUAAAACUAGUAUCGACAGGAGUGCGAGAUGAUUGACAGUCAAGCAUACCAGCACGAUUAAGAAGAUCAAGAAUAUACUGGCGUUGGGAAAGAAAAAGGCUGGAGGAAUCUCGAACAACAGCAAUGCCUAAGAAAUGAUGAAGGAGUCCUAGGUCAGUCAUAGAAAACUCAGAUCUAAGAAGAGAGACAAUAUGAUCUAAGAACUUUUGAGAGGAGGCGGUAAGAAUGAUGUCAUCUACAUAGAGAAGUAAAUAGGCAGUGUCAGAAGUUUGAUGAUACACAAAAAGAGAGGUGUCGGAGAGAGAUGGAGUGAAGCCUAUUGUUUGAAUGAAGGAGGAGAAGCGUUGAAACCAAGCUCAUGGGGCCUGUUUAAGACUGUAGAGAGAUUUCUGAAGAAGACAUACAUGAGUUGGAAAGGAUGGAUUUUCAAACCCCAGAGGUUGCUGGCAGUAGACAGUUUCUUGAAGGGAACCAUGGAGGAAAGCAUUUUUAACAUCAAGUUGGUGAAUGGGCCAUGAAGCGGAGACAGCAACACUAAGAACGGUGCGAAUGGUGCUAGGUUUAACAACAGGAGAGAAGGUUUCUUCGUAAUCAAUUCCUUGUUGCUGAGAAAAGCCACGACAAACCCACCUGGCUUUAUAUCGUGAGAGGCUCCCAUCGGAGUGGAACUUUUGGCGAAAAAUCCAUUUGCCAGAAACAAUAUUUGUAUUGGGAGGACGAGGAACAAGUUGCCAGGUGUUGUUUUGAAGUAAAGCAUUAUAUUCUUCUUGCAUGGCAGCGGCCCAAUUGGGAUCAAGUAGAGCAGUUUUGUAAUUCUUUGCAAGAGAAGUGAGAGAUACGGAGGUAUGAAGGUUUAGGCGGUCUUGGGGUUGAUGAAAUCCUGAUUUGGCCCUAGUACACAUGCGAUGAUCAUUAAUCAGGGCUGCUGUAGGAAUAGCACGAGGGGGUAAGGUGGGUACUGGUGAGUCCGGCGCAGCGAAAGAGUCGGACAAAGGAGUAGGGCUGGGUGGUGGAGUGGGAGCGGGGCUGGGUGGUGGAGUGGGAGUAGGGGCCGGGGGUGUUGGGGAGGGAGCAAGGGUCGGGGGUGUUGGGGACGUCUCGGGUGGGGUGAGUGUAUGGUUGGGAUUGGCUAUGGUGGGUGUUAAUGGUGGUGGUGAUAAGUUGUGUUCGGCAGGUAGGGGAGUAUAUAGUUGGAAAGGAUGGGGAGAGGGGGUGUUUGCGGAGUUAGGGGUGUUGGAUGGUGUAGUAGUGCGUUGUGAGAAAGGAAAAAUGUGCUCAGCAAACGUGACAUGACGAGAGACAUGAACGUGUCCGGUGUGAAGGUCGAGACAGCGAUAGCCUUUGUGCUCGUCAGAAGCCGAGAAAAGCACAUGGGAUAGAGCGUGGUGACAGUUUAUUUGCAGAAGUGGUGUAGGCAUUGGGAAAACAGAGACAGCCGAAAACACGAACCGCGGAGUAGUCGGUGUGGGAAAGAAAGAGGGAAUAAUAGGGAGUAGUGUUGGGUUUAGUUUUAUAAGGUCGAAUAUUUAGAAGGAAGGUGGCCAUGUGUAGGGCUUCAGCCCAAAACUUGGGAGGCAUAGCUGAUUGAAUGAGGAGAGUGCGAACUAUAUCAUUGAGGGUGCGAAGAGAGCGUUCUGCUUUACCAUUUUGAGGGGAGGUGUAGGGACAUGAGAACCUAAGCAGGAUGCCAUGUUGUAAGAAGAAAGUAUGAUUUUUAAUGUUAUCAAACUCGCGACCAUUGUCACAUUGGAUAAAGCGAAUUGGGAGGAAGAAGUGAACAGACACAUAGCGUUGAAAAUUAAGGAAAAGAGAAUGGACCUCGGAUUUGUUGCGUAGAGGAAAAGUCCAGACAAAGUGGGUGAAAUCAUCUAGGAUAACAAGGUAGUAUUUAAAACCCGAAACACUUGCAAUGGGAGAGGUCCAUAAAUCACAAUGUAUUAAUUCAAAGGGAUAAGUGCUCAAGAACUAGAGGAACUAAAGGGAAGACGCACAUGUUUGCCUAAUUGACAAGACUCGCAAUACAUAGAAUUAUGAGAGUCCCUAUUACAUGGUAUGGUAAAUUCACUAAGCAUAGAAGCUAAGACGGCGGGGUUGGGAUGGCCCAAGCGACGAUGCCAGAGAUCGACGGAGGCCAGCAUGGAUGUUGGAGGGGUGGCGGCAGGAAUUCCAUUAAGAGAAUAAAGAUCACCGGAGCUAUUGAAGCGAGCGAUCUCGGCCUUGGUCAGGUAAUCCUUCACAGAUAAACCAAAAGGGUCAAAUUCAGCCGAAACUAGAUUGUCGCAAGUAAAUUGGCGAACAGAGAUAAGAUUUUUAAUGAGGGCGGGUGCAACUAGAACAUCGCGAAGUAAAAGAGGUUUGGUGGAAGAGGGAAGUUGAGCCUGACCAACACAAUAUAUAGGAAUAGAUGAUCCAUCUCCAAGGAUAAUGGAAGGGAAAGGAGAUUUAGUGCAAGAAGAUAACCAAUUACUAGAUGCAGACAUAUGACUAGAGGCCCCUGAAUCAAAGAUCCUAUCCGUACCUGAGUUUCCUUGUGCAGCAAAGUUAUUCAUGGCCUGGAGAAAGGCAGCUUGAUCCCAGCUCGGCGUCGCAGGUGAGGGUGGCGUCGGAAGCAGUGCCGGCGGAUACGAUGGUGAAGGCAGUAGGGUCGGCUGGGGAGUGUAGUAGGCAUUGGCCGGCUGUGGUGGGGGUGCCGUCGGGAGCAGGGCCGGCUGAGGUGUGUAGUAGGCGCCGCCGUCGGUGUUGUAAUGACCAUAAGGAGCAUACGUCGGGGCGGCGUGAUAGGCAUUGGCCGGCUGUCGGGGGUUGAGAACCCCGGGAGCUCCAGUAGGCGGCCGAAGGCCGGGUUGCCAGGCACCUGAGUAUGCCGGCGGAGCACCGAGGGUGGACGGAGCGGACCAGGGCAUGGGCCAUGCUUGAACAAGCCCCGUCCAAGGAUCAUGAGGAGGCCGCCAUGCAACCGCAGAUGGAGCACUGGUGAGUGGUGCAGGGCUCGGUGCUGGUGAUGUUGUAGGCGGAACCGAACUAGUCGACGGCGGCCUGUAGAUAGGGUUUUUGCCGCGGUAGUUCGGACUAGGACGCCAGCCUGGGGGCGGUUGAACAGAUGACGAUGCGGACGGCCCGGCGGCAGGAGCCGGCCUGGAAGGCGGCGCUGGUGUAGACGACAGAGGAGGACGAGCCACAGCAUGAAAGACCUUGGGGCGAGAGUCCUUGCGAGCUUGUGUUUCCGCCGCGAGUUGUAGCAAGGAACGAACUUCAGCGAAGGUAGGAGGGGGCCGUAUCAUCGGUAUGAGCGAGGCUUGCUUGUCAAAGUCUUCGCUGAGGCCGACGACGACGAUAUUUAUUAGCUGUGAGUCGCUAACUGUAUCGCCGAGUUCGCGGAGCUCAUCACCAAUGGUCUUAACGCGCUGGCAGAACAGGUUCACCGAGGCGUCUCCUUGCACCAUAUUGCGAAGCUCGGUGUGGAGAGCGUUUUUUCGAGCGUCGGUGUUGCUUUGGAAGAGCUGACGGAGGGAGUGCGAGAUGUUGGCAGCGGUGGCACCGUCGUGAUCGAGCAUGUUGAAGAUCUCGGUGGUGAUGCGGGUGUAGAACCACUGGACGAUCGCGAGAUCGUCUUUCAAUCAUUGCGGAUCGUCGGGUCGGGGAAGACAGUUGGCGGCGACAUAUGAGCGCAGGUUGCAGGGGCCGAGGUGGAGAUCGAAGAGAUGUCUCCAAUGGUAGUAGUUGUGGGCGGCGAGAUCAAGUACUAUGAGGAUGUAGGGGCUGACGUCGGAGAUUGUGUCAGCAAGAGAUAUUGGUGCGGCGAGGAUGGGUGCAGGGUAGUUUUGUGGAGCUAUGGUGAGGGCCGAGAGAGAAGCGGCCGCGGCGUUGGCAGCCUUGGCGAUGAGUGCGUUCCGGUGCUCGAAGUAGCCGGGCGGCGGCGGCGGCGGUGGCGUUGGCGGAGCCAUACCCUAAACCCUGGGACCGGUAUCUGAUACCAUGAAAACUGAAUAAAACUGUUGCUUAUUGAUGAUUUGGUGCGGCAUACAAGAGUAUAUAAGAAGGUAUAAACCGACUUGGGGUAGGGGUAUAAAACUGACUUGGACUAGAAGUCGUAUACCAUAAUGACUACUCUAACAGUAGCUAUGGGGGCCUCCUACCUCGCAUCAACCAUACUGUUGGACGUCUCUCUUGCCCCGUCACUCGUCGCCGUCCUCCACACCUUCUGCAGAGCAACUGCCAACAUCUAUGCUGUCAACGGUACCUUCCAGGCCAACAUUGAACACCUCCCAGUGACGGUCCCGAGGAAUGCCUCCUCCUCUCGAGCGCUCUGAGCCACCGCCAUGGUCGGACUGCUCCGGGCUAGUCAAAUAUACAUUGUAUCUGCCACUAACCGACUACCGAACAUGUCUGUCCUAUGUACUCGACUGCCGGGUCAACCACUUCUGCAGCGAGGCGCGGAGUUGCAUAUGGUCAAUCUCGUCGGAUGUGGCUUCGUCCACGACCAGUACGGGUUCUUCUCCAGCAGCCCGCGGCUUCCUCCAGUGGUCAAUGACUGAUCUGUUAUAUCAACCGUAACAUUAUGCUCAGCAGCACCAGCACACUCCUCGGAGAUUAGACUUGGGCCCUGAUGCAUUCGAGAUGGCAGCUUCGGCAGCAGAGAAGGUUACUACUGUUAGGAAUAAACUUUAGACAUGACAUGUAACUGAUCUUGUGCCUAGCAUUAGACCACCUAAACAGAUUAACAAAGAUGGGUUUGUGAGAUUUCUUACAAGUACUGAGGGAAACCUCCUGCAUCCUGCCUGCUUGGUGUUGCCCUUAUGUGCCUCGUGAGAAUUGUUGGGGAAGAUGGGCAACAGCAGGUCACGUAGAUGGCAGCCGGAAGCCGCCGGCACAGCCCUGCGGCGGCCGGUGGUGGAGACGGUAUUCUGAUCCCUUUAGCCCCCCUUUUAGGAUCGGUAGUUGAGGUUUUUCUGGGUGCCUUACCUGUACGCAAUCGUCAUCCCGUCCAGGGAACGAGUACCUCCUUUUUAUACGUGGAGUGCUAGGAAACAGGGACCGAAACCAACACGUUGGUGCACCUCCGAUCAUGGUGCGUAUUAGGGAUUGACUCCCCCUUAUCUCUCAGUUAGUUACAAGCCGAGAUCAAUAUUCCAAUAGCUACCACGGAUACCAAAGCUGGAGGUGUAAUUAUUCGCCAAAAGUACUAUCGCAUAUAAUGAAUGCCUCACUAAAAAUGAUCAUCGGACCUGCACUGGGUUGUAGCUUCAGUAAUUUGUACAUUACUCCCUCUGUACCACAAUACUUGUUGGUGGGGGAAUUUGUAUUAGUUUUCUCUAACUACAAGUAUUUCGGUACAGAGGGAGUACGUUACAUUAUUUAUUUGAGGUUUGCUUUCGUAUCCUCCACCCUAAAAGAUGUUUCCUCCGUUCCAAAAUAGAUGACUCAACUUUGUGCUAACUUUAAUACAAAAUGGGGUCAUCUAUUUUGGAACGGAGAGAGUAGUUUUUAUGGUACCUUAUAUUGCUAACAGGGGAGUAUUAGUAUAGAACCCCCUCGUUAGCAGUGUUCCGAAGAGUCUACUAGCAACGUCCAGCCGGCGCGCUACUAGUAUAACGUCGCUGAUCCUUCACCAUUUUCUAGAAGUAAAGGUCAAUGAUUUGACCCGGCUUGCAAGAGGGGAGAGGGACAUUAAAAGGAAAAACUGAGCAAAGAGAUAUAUAAAUAUAUUAGAAAAGCUUUUUACUUUUACUUCGUGAUUUCUUUCUUUCUUUUCUACACGCGGAGGAAGAGGGCACUAGUUUCGAAGAAAAUAAAAACUACAAUCCAGCCUGAACCUUUGGGUAGGCUCCGCAGGAUCAACAACCGUGAAAUUCUGCUGUGGUGAUCGACGCCUCACGAGACGAGGAUAAAUCCGUGGAGUUUGACGGCGGCGAGAUGGAGCAGAAUUGGCGAAGGAGAGAGAGAGAGAGACGCAACCGCCUGACUCCCGUGCAAAUCGUCCGUAGGUGUAGCGUUGGCGGCGAUUUUUUCUUUUCUUCUUGUUACGAUGCCCUCGUCAUUUUAGCCAUUCCAAUUUUUAUGAUGGCUUAUAUCCAAAUGGCCACAGGGCUAACCAACGUAUCCGGCAUGUGAUGAGCUCGCUUGAACACGUUGCACCGGCGAGCUCUCCGCGACCGGAGACGCAGCUCACCGCCCUCGUCGUACUCGACAUCGAACGUGGUGAUGCGAAGAACGACGCGGGGAGGACCGACGUAUAUCCGGCUCUCCACGCCCUUGCGCCGCCGCACGUCUUCGUCGCCCUUGUGCCACGUGGACUCCACGAGGCAGAACCUGCCCCCGCUCAUGGGGACGAGGGUGGCCCAGGUGGAGCGGCGACUCGUCGUCGAACAGCCUUUCCUCUCCGAGGAGCUUCCACCGCGGCAGUGUCGUCGGCCCGGCGCCGGCUGGCACGGGCACGACGUCCGAGGUGCAGAGGUGGCCGGUGCCGCCCUUGUGGCGGCAGAUGCCGACCCAUGCGUCCAGCGCGGCCACGCAGUGCGCCUGGCCGCGGAAAGGGAGCAUCCAGUCGCCGUGGCGCGUCCACUCGAGGCGCUCGGUGUCGAAGGAGAAGGUGCCCUUCUCGGCUUCGUGUCUCCACUUGCGGGCCGACACGACGAGGGUGCGCCCGUCCGGGUGCACGGCGUUGCAGUAGGCGGCCGUGAACGGCAGCGGCGAGUCAAGGGCGGUCCAGACCCACGGCUUCUGCACCGCAGGGCGCCCGUCCGUUAGAUGAAGAAUUAUACGUCCGGCUGUGAUUGGUACGUUGAUUAAAUUGAGGGAAAAUAGUUAGAAGCCUACGGACGCAAGAGAAACGUAGAUGAACACAAGAGCAUAAGUUAUGGUCAUCUUUUAUCUUCUCCACCAGGAUGCAGUCCUUCAGCUUUUCUAUAUACUCCCUCCAUCCGAAAAAGUUUGUCCCUUAAAUGAAUAUAUCUAGCACCAAGUUAAUGCUAGAUACAUCUAUUUGAGAGAUAAGCUUGGGACAAGCUUUUUCGGACGGAGGGAUUACAUAGCUAAUGUACUUGUAGUAGACCUGGCCAUGGGCAGCCCGGCCCGAAAAUCCCGGGCCGGGCUUGGGCCUGCACAAAACACAUUUUUAGCCGUGGUCGGGCUGGGCCGACCGGGCCGUGUCAGGCUUUUUCGGGCUCAGGCCUGAUUUUGUAGGCCCGAUGGCCGGGCUCGGGCCUGGGUUUUUAGCAUUGGGCUUUUUUUGGCCCGGCCCGGCCCGAGAUAUGCACAGCUAUAACUUGUACAUACAUAUCAAAAUUGUAGGAAGGCAUAAGAUAAUCUUUCUUAUCUGUUUGUUCCUUUCUGUUUACUCGUCACUUAGCACCGCAAUAAGACAUGACAUCAUCUUCAUUCUCCUUGUCCGCCUCCUAUUUUCUGACAGCCCUUCUGCCUCACCUCUGACCUUGCUAUCACAUAGCCAUCGCUCAUCUUUGUCAAGGUUUAUAUCUUUUCUAUCCACGGAUAAUAGCGCAUUAAACACCUUGAGUUAAUAUCCUUUCACUAUCACAUACGUUUGACAAUAGUGACGAUUAUUGUGGUAGGCAAAAUAUUCUUUUAGUGGGAGGCGAUGCUUUUGACGAUAGUGAGACACAUGUGGUGACUUUGUCAAUCUCAAGAGCCCCCCUUCUCCGCGCUCAGUCUCUCGGAAGUACUCAUAGUGGUAGGUGAUAACCCACAAAUAUAGGGGAUCGCAACAGUUUUCGAGGAUAGAGUAUUCAACCCAAAUUUAUAGAUUCGAUACAAGGGGAGCCAAAAAAUAUUUGAAGGUAUUAGCAGCUGAGUUGUCAAUUCAACCAUACCUGUAGAUUAAUUAUCUGCAGCAAAGUGAUCAGUACCAAGUAGUUUGAUAGUUUUGAUGGUAGUGACAGCAGCAACAGUAACAGUAACAGUGAUAGCAGUAUUUUGUAGCAAGUGUAACAGUGAUGAUAGCAGUAGUAACUUAGCAGAAACAAUAUAAAUAAAUUCGUAGGCAUUGGAUCGGUGACUUGUUGGAUGAUAUUCAUCAUGUGACAGUUAUAACCUAGGGCGAUACGGCACUAGCUCCAGUUCAUCGAUAUAAUGUAGGCAUGUAUUCUGUAAAUAGUCAUACGUGCUUUAUUAAAAGAACUUGCAUGACAUCUUUUGUCCUACCCUCCCGUGGCAGCGGGGUCCAUAUUGGACACUAAGGGAUAUUAAGGCCUCCUUUUAAUAGAGAACCGGAACAAAGCAUUAACACAUAGUGAAUACAUGAACUCCUCAAACUACGGUCAUCACCGGGAGUGGCCCCGGUUAUUGACUUGCAAGAUCGGAUCUAAAACAUGGAUAUAAUGAUGAAUUCAUAAACGGUUCAGAUCUAAGUUCAUGGCACCUGGGCCCAAAGUGACAAGCAUUAAGCAUAGCAAAGUCAUAGCAACAUCAAUCUAAGAACAUAGUGGAUACUAGGGAUCAUGCCCUAACAAAACUAACUCGAUUACAUGAUGAAUCUCAUUCAACUCCUCACCGACCAGCAAGCCUACGAAGGAAUUACUCACUCUCGGUGGGGAGCAUCAUGAAAUUGGCGAUGGAGAUUGGUUGGUGAUGACGAAGAACGAAGAUCCCCCUCUCCGGAGCCCCGAACGGACUCAAGAUCUGCCCUCCUGAGGAAGAACAGGGCUUGGCGGCGGCUCCGUCUCGUGAAACGCGAUAAUUCUUUCUCCCCGAUUUUUUUCUGGAAAUAUGUGAAUUUAUAGUAUCAAGGGGGUCGUCAGUGGGGCCACUAGGUGGGUACAACCCACCUGGGCGCGCCAGGAGAGGGGGGCGCACCCUUGUGGGUUGUGCCCAGCCAGGGGCCCCUCUCUGGUGGUUGUUGGCUCCAAAAAUCCUCUUUUAUUCCAUAAAAAAUCCUCGCAAAGUUUCACUUUAUUCCGAGAACUUCUAUUUCUGCAUAAAACAACACCAUGGUAGUUCUGCUGAAAACAACGUCAGUCUGGGGUUAGUUUCCUUCAAAUCAUGCAAAUUAGAGUCCAGAAUAAGAGGAAAAACGUGAGAAAAAGUAGAUACGUUGGAGACAUAUGAACUCCCCCAAGCUUAAACCUUUGCUUGUCCUCAAACAAUUCAGUUGAUAAACUGAAAGUGAGAAAGAAAAACUUUUACGAACUCUUUUGCUCUUGUUUGCAUAAAUAGGCUUAAACAGCACCCAGGUUUUCAGCCAACAUUAUAACUAACCAUGUCAACAGUAACAUUUAAAGAUUAUAAUGAUUCAUAUCAAUGACAUAAUUAGCUAGAGAGCAAUAAUAAGAUAUCUCAAACAGCAACAUGUUGUCAAAACAACCAUGAUAUAAUAUGACAAUAGUGGUAUCUCGCUAGCCCUUUUUGAGACCGCGAAACAUAAAUGCAGAGCACCUCCAAAGUUCAAGCAGUGACUAAACAUUGUAAUUCAUGGUAGAAAAGAUCCAGUCAUGAUGCCCAACGUUAGCUAUACACAAUGCAUAAAUCAUGAUAGCCAUGCUCUACUCAGUUUUUGGCGCUUGUUUUAGAAGGAGAUGACACAACAUAAAAGUAAAUAGAAAGUCCCUUCGCAGAGGGAAGCAGUGAUUUGCAGAGGUGCCAGAGCUCGAUUUUUUUUAAAAUAGAGAUAAAUGAUAUUUUGAGACAUGCACCCUUCUUAUUCACUUCACGACUAUCAGUUAUCAACAUCUUCCAUGCUAAGCAUGCUAGUGGCGGUUCCCAAGCGGAAAGUAAAGGUUUUGACUCCAUUGGGAGUUUUUGUUUGAUUAUUUAAGAGAUGAACUCUUUUUCAUGUUUGCAGUUUGGGACUGGGCAUCCCUAAUACCGCCCAUUUCCUCGUGUGAUGGCGAGUGAAUAAACACUCAUCCUGAGGAUAACCCGCAUAGCACGGAAGAUAUCGACCACCUCCUGUCGUUCCAUGAACGAUCCAGGCACACAAAACGGAUAAUUUUUUAGAAGUUUUUAGAGAUGGCACAUGCAAAUUUACUUAGGACGACAGGGUAAUACCGUAUAUAGGUAGGUAUGGUGGAUUCAUCUGGAAUAACUUUGGGUUCAUGGUUUUUGAUGUACAAGCAGAAUUCCCACUUAGUAGAGACGAAGGCUAGCAAUUAAGAUUGGGAAGCGGCCAGCUAGAGAGCAACAACGAUCAUAACCAGGCAUUAUGCAUAAGUAACAUUGGACACUAGCGUGAGUAGGAUAUGAACACCAUGAACAUAAAUAUUAUAGAGGCUAUGUUGGUUUUGAUUCAACUACAUGCAUGAGCAUGUACCAAGUCAAGCUACUCGAACAUUCAGAGGAGGAUACCAUAUCAUCAUACUACAUCACAAUCAUUUUAACGCUAUGUUGAUAUCCAAAAUAAAUCAUUAUCCACUCCCAGCUACUUAUGCAUGGCAUGAGAAACUAUAAUCUCUAAUUUUCAUUGCAAACAUGUUUAAUCAUAAUGGGCUGAAGCCUGGAUACUAGGUUAAACAUAUUUACACAAACAGAACAAGUCGAGUUCACACCAGUUUCUCUUUGCCACGGCCAGCUCAUCGAAUAUCGUCAUUAUUGCCUUUCACUUGCACGACCGAAUGAUAUGAAAAUAAUAAUAGUGUAAGAGUGACAUGGACUAAGCUGGAAUCUGCAAAAUAUUUUAUUCAACAGGAGAAGACAAGGUAAAAUGGGCUCUUUAUUAGUUCAACUAUUAUUCAUAUGAGAGCCACUCAACAUUUUCAUCGUGGUCUUCUCCUCGGUAAGACUCAACUAAAAAGAAAAGAAAUUUAGAGAAACACACUGAAAUAUUUUUGGAGUUUUUAGUUUUCUUCAACAAGCAAAUAAAAAGCAAAAAUGAGAAAAACUAUUUACAUGGGAAAGCUCCCAACAAGCAAAAAGAAGAACAAGAAAAUCUUUUUGGGUUUUCUCUUUUUAGUUGUAGAAAGUAAAUUACUACAACUAAUUGUUUUUGGUUUUUCUAAAGUAUUUCAAACACAUAAGAAGAAAGCAAGAAAAUAAAUCUAAGCAUGGAUGAUACAAUGAAAAAGUAUGAACACCGACGGAUAGAAUGAUAUGUAAACAUGAAUAUAAUCUCGGUAAGAAACACGUACUCCCCCAAGCUUAGGCUUUUGGCCUAAGUUGGUAAUCGGUCAGUAGCCUGGAGGGUAGUAGUCGGCGUGGUAGCUCACGGAGGCUCUCAGUGCAGAGGCCUCAGCACGCCGUGCCGCCAACACUGCUGCGUUGUGAGCUCGGGCCUCGCUCUCAAGAACAAAAUAUCUUUCCUUGCUGUUAUAAUCAAAGAGAGUAGGCGUAGGCAAAUAUGUGUCCACAACAUGUGAUUGGUUAAACAACAGAUUAUAAGUGAAGUUAUCAGCCCUUCCCCUGAGAAUCUUAUGCUCUUUCAAAGAAUCAAAAUAUAAAUACCGAGUAGGAAGGAUAGGGUCAAAGGGUAAAGGUGAAACACCCAUCCCUCGUGCUAAACGUGUGGCAUAAAUUCCACCAUAGAACCAGCCACUUUUGGCGUUAUGCUGAAGUCUACGUGCAACAAUCGCUCCAAGGUUAUAAUUCCUUUCACCAGUGAGAGCGGUGUGAAUGAGGCUCAAGUCUGGCGCACAAAGUAUGCUACAGUCUUGCUUGCCUACUAUGCAUUUCCCGUUAAAUAAAGCAAGAUACUGAAUUGCGGGAAAGUGAAUGCUCUUUAUUCUUCCUUGUCUCACUCCCCUAUUUUCACCGUAACAAAGGCCAGUCAAGAAGGACUCAUACUCAGCCUUUGGUGGCUCAUCAAGCGAACCCCAAAAUGGAAGUUUGCAAUGGUAAGCAAAGUUCUCUAGUGGGAUAGUAAACGGUUCAUCAUAAAGCAUAAACGACACCCUAGACUCACGUGGAAAAUAUUUAAAUCCUUUGACAAAUGAUUCAGUGAGAAGAUGGCACUGUUCACACUUAUUUGAGAGGUAGGGACCGAGGCCGGCAUUGUGAACAUAUUGCUCAAAUUCCUCCUUGAUCUCCACUUGCAUCAUAUACUCAUCGCAAGGCCAUAAGCAAGUUUUGGUAGCGGCAUCUCAUGUGGAACUUUCACUUCGUUCAACAUAAGAUCGGCGAGCAGAACUGUCACUAGAAGAUGCCCCCGAGGACUUUCUCCUCGAAGAACUCCUUCCAAACAGGUUCAUAAUGUCAACAAAAAUCUGAAUUUUUAGUUCACAAAUUUUUUCCAACAAAACUUCACAAAACUAAUAGCAACUACUCAUAGGGAUACAUAGAGGCCAUAACAAGCAUUCAAACUACUUAGAACACUAAGAGUUGAACAUGCAAGCACAUCUACUGCAGCACCAAGAGUAGCUAUUUAUCCAAAGUAUAAACCACUAAAACAAAAACUAAUUGGACAAAUGAUGGAGUCACAUACCAAGCAACAAAUCCCCGAAACUGUUUCGGAAACGAAGCUUCGAGCAAAGAGGUCGAAAUCCGCGGGUUUGAGCUCAAGAACACGGGAAAGAGAGUAUGAGAGAUUUUUUUCUAGAGGUAUGUGACAAUGUGGGCUAAAGAGAUAAGUGAGGGGGCCCACGUGGGGACCACAACCCCUCAGGGCGCGCCAGGGGGUGCUGGCGCGCCCUGGUGGGUUGUGCCCACCAGGUGCACCCCCUCUGGUAUUAUUUGCACCAAAAAUUCUCAAAUAUUCAGGAAAAAAUCAUAUAAAAUUUUCAGGGCAUUCUGAGAACUUUUAUUUUUGGGUCAUUUUUUAUUGCACGGGAAAUUCAGAAAACAGACAAAGCAUGGCAUUUUAUUUUGUUUAACAAAUAAAAAUAGAGAAUAAAAAGUAAGGACAGAAGGUAGUGCUUACUAAAUUCAUCAACUUCAUACCGUUCAAAAAUGAUUCAUUAAUAAGGUUGAUCAGGUCUUAUUAACAACCACUUCCAAUUAGCAUGAAACCGGAGAACUUUCAUAAAUCACUAAGUUACCUCAAUGGGGAUUUGCAUCUCCCCAACAAUAAGCAUUUCAUAUUUCUUUUUGACAGUAGGUAGAGGUAUUUGAAAACUUCCAAUAGUGAUUGUCAGAGAUUUUUCAAUAACAUUAAUACCAUUCACAUGGAAUUGUUUCUUCGAAAAGUGCACCAUAUGCUCAUUACCAUUAAUAUGAAAAGUGACCUUGCUUUUAUUGCAAUCAAUAACAGCCCUUGCAGUAUUCAAGAAUGGUCUACCAAGGAUAACCGACAUGUUGCCGUCCUCGGGCAUCUCAAGUAUAACAAAGUCAGUCAAAAUAGUAACAUUAGCAACAACAACGGGCACAUCCUCACAAAUACCGAUAGGUAUGGCAGUUGAUUUGUCAGCCAUUUGCAAAGAUAUUUCAGUAGGUGUGAGUUUAUUCAAGUCAAGUAUUUUAUAUAAAGAGAAAGGCAUAACACUAACACCAGCUCCUAAAUCACACAAAGCAGUUUUCACAUAAUUCUUUUUGAUAGAGCAAGGUAUAGUUGGUAUACCCGGAUCUCCAAGUUUUUUAGGUACUUCAUCUUUGAAAGUAUAAUUAGCAAGCAUAAUGGAGAUUUCAGCUUCCGGUAUUUUUAUCUUAUUAGUGAUGAUGUCUUUCAUAUACUUUGCAUAAGGAGGCAUUUUCAAGAUAUCAGUCAAGCGAGUACGCAAAAAGACUGGCCUCAGCAUUUCAGCAGAGCGUUCAAAUUCUUCAUCAUCAUUCUUUUUAGUUGACUUGGGUGGAAAAGGCAUAGGUUUUUGAACCCACGGUUCUCUUUCUUUACCGUGUUUCCUAGACACAAAGUCUCUUUUAUCAUAUCUUUUAUUCUUAAGUUGUGGGUUAUCAAGAUCAAUAGGUGGUUCUAUCUCAACAUCAUUAUCUGGUUCUUUUUCAUUAUUUGGUUGAGUGUCUUCAUGAAUCAGCAUUAUCUUUUUCACUAUCGCUAGGUGGAUGUUCAUUACCAGAUUGAGUUUCAGCAUCUGAGAUAGAAGUUUCAUUUUCAUUAUCAGGAGGUUUUUCUAUUUCAGGUUCACUAGAAGUGUGCAAAGUCCUAUCAUUUUUCUUCUCCUUUUUCUUUCUAGAAGGACUAGGUGAACUAGUGUUGCUUAUUUGUCAAUCUUGUAUAAUUCUUUUUGGGUGUCCCUCAGGAUAAAGUGGUUCCUGAUUCAUUUUACCUCCUCUAGUUGCAAUUCUAACAGCAAAGUCAUGCAUAUUAUUAUUCAUUUCAUCAAGCAAUUCUCUUUGAGAUUUAGCAACUUGUUCUAACUGGGUUUGUACCAUAGAAGCAUGUUUUCCAACACCUCUAACAUCAUUUGAAAUUCUAAAUAACAAGUCACUCAAGCGAGCAAUCAUAUCAGAGUUGUAUUUCAAUUGUUUCAUAACAUUUGCAUUGAAGUGAUCUUGUUUUCUAAUAUAGUUUUCAAACUCAUAAAGGCAUUGACUAGGAUGCAUAUUGUGAGGAUUGUCAUUUUCAUUGAACUUCAUAAGAGAAUUUACCUCUACCACCUUAGGAAGUGGUGGUGUAUUUAGCCCAUGUAUUUCUUCAAUAGGAGGUAAAUUUUUAACAUCCUCAGCUUUAAUACCUUUUUCCUUCAUAGAUUUCUUUGCCUCUUGCAUAUCUUCAGGACUGAGAUAUAAUAUACCCCUCUUCUUCGGACUGGGUUUAGCCGGUGGUUUAGGAAGAGUCCAAUCAUCAUAAUUUUUCAAUAUAUUAUUCAAUAAUUCUUCAGCUUGAGCAUCGGUUAGGAAGAGUUGUGUUCGUUCCCUGAAAACACAACCAGCACAACUAUCGAGGAAGUCCUAGAAGCAUCGGUUAGUCCAUUAUAGAAGAUAUCAAGUAUUUCAUUUUUCUUAAGUGGAUGAUCUGGCAAAGCAUUAAGUAACUGACAAAGCCCCCCCCCCCAAGCUUGUGGGAGGCUCUCUUCUUUAGUUUGCACAAAGUUAAAUAUUUCCUGUAAGGCAGCUUGUUUCUUAUGAGCAGGAAAAUAUUUUUCAGAGAAGUAAUAAAUCAUAUCCUGGGGACUACGCACACAACCAGGAGUAAGAGUAUUGUAUCAAGCUUUAGCAUCACCCUUUAAUGAGAAAGGAAAUAAUUUGAGAAUAAAGUAAUAGCGAGUUUUCUCAUCAUGAGUAAAAAGGGUGGCUAUAUCAUUCAACUUAGUAAGAUGUGCCACAACAGUUUCAGUUUCAUAACCGUGGAAAGGAUCAGAUUCAACCAAAGUAAUUAACUCUGGGUCGAUAGAGAAUUCAUAAUCCUUAUCUGCAAUAAAGAUAGGUGAAGUAGCAAACUUAGGAUCACAUUUCAUUCUAGCAUUCAAAGAUUUUUCUUUAUACUUGCAUAGUAAUUUCUCUAGAUCAUCUCUAUCAUUGCAAGCAAGAAUAUCUCUAGUUGCUUCUUCACUCAUAACAUAACCUUCUGGUACCUUAGGCAAUUCAUAUCUAGGAAGGCUAGGUCUAGCAGGUGUUUCAGGAGUUCCAGUUUCAAGCUCAUCAUCAGAUUCAAGAACAUCAUGUUGUAUAACUCUAGCAAUUUGUUCAUCAAGAAAAUCACCAAGUGGCACAUCAUCAUUAUCAAGCAAGGUACUAGCAUCAUCAUAAGCAUCAUUCAUAGCAGAAGUAGCAUCAUCAAUAACUUGUGACAUAUUAUAAUUCAUAGCAUGUGGUGGUGUUGCAAGUUUAUUCAUGACAGAAGGUGAAUCUAAAGAAGAACUGGAUGGCAGUUCCUUACCACCCCUCGUCUUUGAGGGAAAUAUCUUAGUCUUUGGAUCCAUCAGAUUCUUCAUAGUGAUAAUAUAUAAUAAUUCCAAGUGACUGAACAAAUAUAGCUAUGGUCCCCGGCAACGGCGCCAGAAAAAGGUCUUGAUAACCCACAAGUAUAGGGGAUCGCAACAGUUUUCGAGGGUAGAGUAUUCAACCCAAAUUUAUGGAUUCGACACAAGGGGAGCCAAAGAAUAUUUGAAGGUAUUAGCAGCUAAGUUGUCAAUUCGACCACACCUGUAGAUUAAUUAUCUACAGCAAAGUGAUCAGUAGCAAAGUGUUUGAUAGUUUUGAUGGUAGUGACAACAGCAACAGUAACAGUAACAGUGAUAGCAGUAUUUUUAGCAAGUGUAACAGUGAUGAUAGCAGUAGUAACUUAGCAGAAACAAUAUAAAUAACUUCGUAGGCAUUGGAUCGGUGACUUGUUGGAUGAUAUUCAUCAUGUGACAGUUAUAACCUAGGGCGAUACGGCACUAGCUCCAGUUCAUCGAUAUAAUGUAGGCAUGUAUUCUGUAAAUAGUCAUACGUGCUUUAUUAAAAGAACUUGCAUGACAUAUUUUGUCCUACCCUCCCGUGGCAGCGGGGUCCAUAUUGGAAACUAAGGGAUAUUAAGCCCUCCUUUUAAUAGAGAACCGGAACAAAGCAUUAACACAUAGUGAAUACAUGAACUCCUCAGACUACGGUCAUCACCGGGAGUGGGCCCGGUUGUUGUCACUCCGGGGUUGCCGAAUCAUAACACAUAGUAGGUGACUAUAACUUGCAAGAUCGGAUCUAAAACAUGGAUAUAAUGAUGAAUUCAUAAAUGGUUCAGAUCUUAGUUCAUGGCGCCCGGGCCCAAAGUGACAAGCAUUAAGCAUAGCAAAGUCAUAGCAACAUCAAUCUAAGAACAUAGUGGAUACUAGGGAUCAGGCCCUAACAAAACUAACUCGAUUAGAUGAUGAAUCUCAUCCAACUCCUCACCGACGAGCGAGCCUACGAAGGAAUUACUCACUCUCGGUUGGGAGCAUCAUGGAAUUGGCGAUGGAGAUUGGUUGGUGAUGAUGAAGAACGAAGAUCCCCCUCUCCGGAGCCCCGAACAGACUCCAGAUCUCCCCUCCCGAGGAAGAACAGGGCUUGGCGGUGGCUCCGUCUCAUGAAACGCGAUAAUUCUUUCUCCCUGAUUUUUUCUGGAAAUAUGUGAAUUUAUAGUAUCAGGGGGGUCAUAAGCGGGGCCACCAGGUGGGUACAACCCACCUGGGCGCGCCAGGAGAGGGGGGCGCGCCCUGGUGGGUUGUGCCCAGCCAGGGGCCCCUCUCUGGUGGUUAUUGGCUCCAAAAAUCCUCUUUUAUUCCAUAAAAAAUCCUCGCAAAGUUUCACUUUAUUCCGCGAACUUUUAUUUCUGCACAAAAACAACACCAUGGUAGUUCUGCUGAAAAUAGCGUCAAUCUGGGGUUAGUUUCAUUUCAAAUCAUGCAAAUUAGAGUCCAAAACAAGAGGAAAAGCAUGAGAAAAAGUAGAUACGUUGGAGACGUAUCAGUAGGGUGCGUGUGCAUGCGUUCAUAGGGAUGAAUGUGUGUACGUGUUUGUAAGCAUCAUCGUUUGUACUAUUUUUUUACAGAACCUUUCAAAAUGCACGUGAAAUAUAUUAGAAGCACUAUUGUCAAGACAUAACAACAUAUUGGUCAUGCAUUUCCAAAAAUCUGUAAUACACAUAUGCUACCUCUUGAGCAUACGUUGGUUUUCCCUUGAAUAGGAAAGGGUGAUGCAGCAAAGUAGCGUAAGUAUUUCCCUCAGUUUUUGAGAACCAAUGUAUCAAUCCAUUAGGAGACUACACGCAAGUCGCCUAGUACCUGCACAAACAAAUAAGAACCUUGCAACCAACGCGAUAAAGGGGUUGUCAAUCCCUUCAUGGCCACUUGCAAAAGCGAGAUCUGAUAAAGAUAAUAAGAUAAUAUUUUUGGUAUUUUUGUUGUAUAGAUUGGAAAAGUAAAGAUUGCAAAAUAAACGGCGACAGGAAUAACUAGUUGACGGGAAACUAAUAUGAUGUAAAAUAGACCCGGGGGCCAUAGGUUUCACUAGUGGCUUCUCUCAAGAUAGCAUAUUUUACGGUGGGUGAACAAAUUACUGUCGAGCAAUUGAUAAAAAAGCGCAUAGUUAUGAGAAUAUCUAGGCAUGAUCAUAAACAUAGGCAUCACGUCCGUGUCAAGUAGACCGAAACGAUUCUGCAUCUACUACUAUUACUCCACACAUCGACCGCUAUCCAGCAUGCAUCUAGAGUAUUAAGUUCAUAAGAACGGAGUAACGCAUUAGGCAAGAUGAUAUGAUGUAGAGGGAUAAACUCAAGCAAUAUGAUAUAAACCCCAUCUUUUUAUCCUCGAUGGAAACAAUACAAUACGUGCCUUGCUGCCCCUGCUGUCACUAGGAAAGGACACGGCAAGAUUGAACCCAAAGCUAAGCACUUCUCCCAUUGCAAGAAAGAUCAAUCUAGUAGGCCAAACUAAACCGAUAAUUCGAAGAGACUUGCAAAGAUAUCAAAUCAUGCAUAUAAGAAUUCAGAGAAGAAUCAAAUAUUGGGACGCGGCUUUUUUGCUCCUAGGUGCAUAUGCACCCAUUGUCGAAAACACACAUUUUGAAAAGUUGAAAAAUUCGGAACAAAAAUCCCGCGUGUAUAUCCGGACAUUUUAUGUCCGUUCACAAGGUUUCGGUGAAAAUGACGUUUUUUGUGGCUUGUGUAAAAAAGAUAAAGAAAUGCCUCGUAAAUAGUUAGAAUGAAGCAUCAGAAAUUGUCUUUUUUACACAAGCCACAAAAAACGUCGUUUUUCACCGAAACCUUGUGAACGGACAUAAAAUGUCCGGAUAUACACGCGGGAUUUUUGUUCCGAAUUUUUCAACUUUUCGAAAUGUGUAUUUCGACAAUGGGUGCAUAUGCACGUAGGAGCAAAAGGGAAUAUCCCCAAAUAUUGUUCAUAGAUAAUCUUGAUCAUAAGCCCACAAUUCAUCGAAUCUCGAUAAACACACCGCAAAAAGAAUUACAUCGAAUAGAUCUCCAAGAGAAUCGAGGAGAACUUUGUAUUGAGAUCCAAAGAGAGAGAAGAAGCCAUCUAGCUAAUAACUAUGGACCCGAAGGUCUGAGGUAAACUACUCACACAUCAUCGGAGAGGCUAUGGUGUUGAUGUAGACGCCCUCCGUGAUCGAAUCCCCCUCGGGCAGAUCGCCGAAAAAGGCCCCAAGAUGGGAUCUACAAAAUAAAACCACCACCGUGCUCUAAAAAGAUAUAAAUGAAGCAUUAGAGCAAAAUUAUCUAGCUCAAAAGAUAUAAGUGAAGCACAUAGAGUAUUCUAAUAAAUUCCGAUUCAUGUGUGUCUCUCCAAAGGGUGUGUACAGCAAGGAUGAUUGUGGUGAACUAAAAAGCAAAGAUUCAAAUCAUACAAGACGCUCCAAGCAAAACACAUAUCAUGUGGUGAAUAAAAAUAUAGCUCAAGUAAAGUUACCGAUAGACGAAGACAAAAGAGGGAAUGUCUUCCGGGGCAUCCCCAAGCUUAGGCUUUUGGUUGUCCUUGAAUUUUACCUUGGGGUGCCUUGGGCAUCCCCAAGCUUAGGCUCUUGCCACUCCUUGUUCCAAAAUCCAUCAAAUCUUUACCCAAAAACUUGAAAACUUCACAACACAAAACUCAACAGAAAAUCUCAUGAGCUCCGUUAGUAUAAGAAAACAAACCACCACUUUAAGGUACUGUAAUGAAAUCAUUCUUUAUUUAUAUUGGUGUUAAACCUACUGUAUUCCUACUUCUCGAUGGUUCAUACCCCCCGAUACUAGCCAUAGAUUCAUCAAAAUAAGCAAACAACACACAAAAACAGAAUCUGUCAAAAACAGAACAGUUUGUAGCAAUCUGGAUCAAAUAAAUACUUAUGUAACUCCAAAAAUUCUGAAAUAAAUUUUUGGACGUGAGGAAUUUAUCUAUUAAUCAUCUGCAAAAAUAAUCAACCUAAUAGGACUCUCCAGUAAAAACAUGGCAGCUAAUCUCGUGAGCGCUAAAGUUUCUGUUUUUUACAGCAAGAUCGCAAAGACUUCCCCCAAGUCUUCCCAAAGGUUCUACUUUGCACAAACACUAAUUUAAAACAUAAAACCACAUCUAAACAGAGGCUAUAUGAAUUAUUUAUUACUAAACAGGAAUAAAAAUCAAAGAACAAAAAUAAAGUUGGGUUGCCUCCCAACAAGCGCUUUUCUUUAAAGCCUUUUUAGCUAGGCAUUGAUAAUUUUAAUGAUGCUCACAUGAAAGACAAGAAUUGAAGCGCAAAGAUAGCAUCAUAAAACACGUGACAAACACAUCUAAGUCUAACAUACUUCCUAUGCAUACGCAUUUUGUAAGCAAACAAAAUUUCAAGGCAAGCAAAAACCAGCAUAUGCAAGGAAGAAGAAAGAGACGAUAGCAUUCUCAACAUGAAGAGAGGUAAUUUAGUAACAUGAAAAUUUCUACAACCAUAUUUUCCUCUCUCAUAAUAAUUACAUGUAGGAUCAUAAGAAAAUUCAACAACAUAGCUAUCACAUAAAAUAUUCUCUUUAUGAACCACAUGCAUGCAAAGUUGACACUCUUCCAAAAUAGUGGGAUUAACAUUAACUAAAGUCAUGACCUCUCCAAACCCACUUUUAUCAAAAAUUUCAUAAGAUUGAAAAUCCUCCAAAUAUGUGGGAUCUAAAGUUGACACUCUUCCAAACCCACUUUCAAUAUUAUUGCAAACACUAUUAUCAAUCUCAUAUUCAUCAUGGGGCUUAAAUAAAUUUUCAAGAUCAUAAGAAGAAUCACCCCAAUCAUGAUAAUUGCAACAAGUAGUAGACAUAGCAAAACUAGCAUCCCCAAGCAAAGGGUUUCGCAUAUUGUUAGCACAAUUGACAUCAAGAGAAUUUAUAGCAAAAUCAUUGCAAUCAUGCUUUUUAUUCAAGGAGCUAUCGUGAAUCUCUUCAUAAAUUUCCUCAUCACAAUUUUCAGAUUCACGAAUUUCAAGCAAAAACUCAUAAAGAUAAUCUUGUGCACUCAAAUCACUAGAAAUUGGUUCACCAUAAUUGGAUCUCUUAAAAAGAUUAGCAAGGGGAUGAGGAUCGAUAAACUGUUAGCAAGCGAAGAUGCAAGCGAAAAGAAGGCACAUGGUAACACAAGAUCGAACGGAAGGGGGCGCAAAAAAGGAGAGGCGAAUAAAACGGCAAGGGUGAAGUGGGGGAGAGGAAAACGAGAGGCAAAUGGCAAAUAAUGUAAUGCGAGGGAUAAGAGUUUGUGAUGGGUACUUGGUAUGUCUUGAGUUGAGCGUAGAUCUCCCCGGCAAUGGCGCCAGAAAUCCGCACGUUGGCGGGAGAUCAAAUCUUGACUUGACUUGGCGUAAACCUUCCCGGCAACGGCGCCAGAAAUCCUUCUUGCUACCUCUUGAGCAUGCGUUGGUUUUCCCUUGAAGAGGAAAGGGUGAUGCAGCAAAGUAGCGUAAAUAUUUCCCUCAGUUUUUUAGAACCAAGGUAUCAAUCCAGUAGGAGAGUACACGCAAGUCGCCUAGUACCUGCACAAACAAAUAAGAACCUUGCAACCAACGCGAUAAAGGGGUUGUCAAUCCCUUCACGGCUACUUGCAAAAGUGAGAUCUGAUAAAGAUAAUAAGAUAAUAUUUUUGGUAUUUUUGUUGUAUAGAUUGGAAAAGUAAAGAUUGCAAAAUAAACGGCGACAGAAAUAACUAGUUGACGGGAAACUAAUAUGAUGUAAAAUAGACCCGGGGGCCAUAGGUUUCACUAGUGGCUUCUCUCAAGAUAGCAUAUUUUACGGUGGGUGAACAAAUUACUGUCGAGCAAUUGAUAGAAAAGCGCAUAGUUAUGAGAAUAUCUAGGCAUGAUGAUAAAAUUAGGCAUCACGUUCGUGUCAAGUAGACCGAAACGAUUCUGCUACUACUAUUACUCCACAUAUCGACCGCUAUCCCGCAUGCAUCUAGAGUUUUAAGUUCAUAAGAACGGAGUAACGCAUUAGGCAAGAUAUACAUGAUGUAGAGGGAUAAACUCAAGCAAUAUGAUAUAAACCCCAUCUUUUUAUCCUCGAUCGCAACAAUACAAUACGUGCCUUGCUGCCCCUGCUGUCACUGGGAAAGGACACCGCAAGAUUGAACCCAAAGCUAAGCACUUCUCCCAUUGCAAGAAAGAUCAAUCUAGUAGGCCAAACUAAACCGAUAAUUCGAAGAGACUUGAAAAGAUAUCAAAUCAUGCAUAUAAGAAUUCAGAGAAGAAUCAAAUAUUGUUCAUAGAUAAUCUUGAUCAUAAACCCAUAAUUCAUCGGAUCUCGACAAACACACCGCAAAAAGAAUUACAUCGAAUAGAUCUCCAAGAGAAUCAAGGAGAACUUUGUAUUGAGAUCCAAAGAUAGAGAAGAAGCCAUCUAGCUAAUAACUAUGGACCCGAAGGUCUAAGGUAAACUACUCACACAUCAUCGGAGAGGCUAUGGUGUUGAUGUAGAAGCCCUCCGUGAUCGAAUCCCCCUCUGGCAGAUCGCCGGAAAAGGCCCCAAGAUGGGAUCUCAUGGGCACAGAAGGUUGCGGCGGUAGAAAAGUGGUUUCGUGGCUCCCCCCGAUGUUUUCAGGGUAUGAGAGUAUAUAUAGGCGAAAGAAGUAGGUCGGUUGAGCCACGAGGGGCCCACGAGGGUGGGGGGGUGCGCCUACCCCCUGGGCGCGCCCUCCUACCUCGUGGCCGCCUCGUUGCUUCCUUGACGUCCACUCCAAGUCUCCUGGAUUGCGUUUGUUCCAAAAAAGAUCCUCGUGAAGGUUUCAUUUAGUUUGGAUUCCGUUUGAUAUUCCUUUUCUGCGAAACACUGAAAUAGGCAAAAAACCGCAACUGGCACUGGGCCUCCGGGUUAAUAGGUUAGUCCCAAAGAUAAUAUAAAAUAGCAUAUUAAAGCCCAUUAAACAUCCAAAACAGAUAAUAUAAUGGCAUGGAACAAUAAAAAAUUAUAGAUACGUUGGAGAUGUAUCAACAUACCAUGGUCAUCUUAUGUGUUGUCAUCUCUCUUUGUUCCCUUUCAUAUUUUGUAACACCAAGUUAGAAUAUUCCUUCCCCCCAUUUCCAUUGUGAUGUUGCAUAGCUUCACAUUGUGUCUCGAUGUUGUCACACACCAGGCUCCUCUUUUAGAUGAAAUUUGAUCGAUGGGAGGGUGACCGCUCGUUGGCGGCUCGGUUUCCCGAAUUUUCUGUCAUUUGUGUGCUCCCUCAUAUCUCUAUUAAGGCUGCCUCAAAUGACCUUGAGAACCAUACAUUCCGCUGCAUCAUUGGGCAACCUGAAAGGGAAUCUUGCGAAGGCUUGAUGGAAUGUGUUUCUCUCCGCACGCCGAGCUUUGAAUCGGUCGUAUUUCUUGCCGUCUUGAGGCCAACCAUCGAGUUUUGAUUCGCUCACUUUACCAAGUGGUGACAGCUUCUACGGUCAUGAACCUCUCACUCCGCUUUGGCUUUUCAAGCUUCCAUUUAAGAUUAGAAUCUUUCUGUUAGCAAUGUAUUUGUGGCCAUAUUCCUUCAGGGUGGAGGUGCGUAAGCGCAAUGGACCUAGGAUGGAUUUUGCCCUUUGUGCGAAACUCCAGCCGUAUUUUCUUCUCCUGAGUUUUGGCUCAAUUCUUAUGUAGUUGCUUCAGGAAGGUCGUUGGUGGAGUCUGGUGCCAUACGAAUAUCGCCGACCUUUUCGUGGAGUUGUGUGCUUACCCGACCCUUGCUUGGACUUUAUGGAAAAUUGCAACAAGCUAGUUAUUGAGCAUUCUCCUCUACAACGUCCGAUUGACGUCAUUUUUAAAAUGUGUGGCUUUCUGUAGCCUUGGAAGCCUCUUCGAGUCUUCGUGGCCUGCCCUACCAUGUUGCCAUUGAUGGUCUUACUGCAGGACUUGGGUCUCUGUACCCACCCCCUCGGCCACCUCCAAAGCUGGACUAAAUGUGCUUUUUUGCUUCUUCAUACAUCAUUUUUUAUCCAUGGGCUUGUUGAGCAGUGCCCCUAGCGGGACCCUUUAUGUUUCCUGUGUUUGGACCAUGUCUCUCCCUCCCUCCCUCCAUCCCUCUCUCUCUCUCCCAUCCUUUGAACUGUUGCAGAAGCAUGUAUUAUGUUGUUGUGUACUUUAUUAAUAAAGCGGGCGGAAAGUUUUUUCUGUCAAAUAGCAUUUUAUUGUCUCGAUUGGUGAAAUCAAAUACAAUGAGUAGUUACAGAAUGUACUAUAUCAAACCAUCAGUUGGUAUAUAUUCUUAUUAACCAAAUUAAGCAAAUCAAAGUAUAUAUAAAUAGGACAUUCGUAUAACUAUGAGAACACCAACCAUUAGAUUUCACGAAUGCACCCAGUACAAGAAUUCCAGAUGUAUUAUGCCUAAUGUUUUGUUGUGUUGUCUAAAUUACUUUGAUGAAGUAUAAGGAAUUAGUUGGUCUUCUAGAAACACAACAUCCAAUCAACAUUAAGUACACUUAUUUACUUUGAUGGAUACAACUGUUUUGGCCAGAUAUUUAUGUGCCCAUACAUUUUACACAAACCAUUUACAACAGCUGGCAAUUAACAUCCUAGUUUAAAUUCAAGGGCUAUGUUAAACUGUGGUUUUCUUCUAGGAUCAUGCAGAACUAUUUUGCUUGUUUAAACUAGUAAGGAACCUUGUAGUGCUAUGGUUGUUUCUCUAAUGAAAAUUGACGAUGCAACCCAUUGCUUCAAAAAAAAGUUACACCAAUGAUAGCCACAUAUGGACUUAAGGCGCAUAUUCACCUACAAAAACCAUCUUGAUAAUGUCAGGAAGAAGUGCAUUUCAGUGUAUAAAUUCACAAGAAAAGAGAUUCUACCAUGCAUGGGAUAUCACAUGCAUGUAUCUGUCAUAUACGGAGUUGGAGAUCCGCAUCUACACCGACGUAUUCAUAUGUAUGCAUAUUAACUAAUCAUGUAUUCACUUUAUUUUUCCCCAGUUGUGCUCAAGUAAUUAGGUGUUGGGGCACACCUAGUGAUAAAACCCCGCAUCCGGCUAUCCAUGAUUUUUGAGCUACAACAUGUAAAAGGUUGCUUGAAAACGAGUGACGAGAACACACUUGUAUGUUAGGCUUGUUUUAUUAUGUGCUGACAUUCAAGAUAUUUUGGACUCUCCGAAGCAAUAUUCGGAUGGCAGUGACCUGGUCAUAAUAGCUAAGAUUGAUGUUGAUGGAGAGAAAGUUGUAAUGAAGGUAUAUAUGUUUGCUUCAUUUACCCAUGGUACGGUAGUGGCGUGAAAAAUGUGGAUCAUUUCUUCUAGAAGUUACACAUUCAUCAGUUAUUGGAAGGAAUUUCCAAUUCGAAAUUUAGUAAUAAAAAUAGCUAUGUCCUCAUAUUCCUCUAAAUGACCUCACCCACAAUCGCUCCUAACAUAUUGGAUCUGAACUUUUCUGAAGGAUCGCUCCAUCUGGAUCAGCACUAUCUGUGAGAUUUAAACAUGUUCUUCAAUCCUGCGGAAAAGUUUUGUAUAGUGGAAUUUGCCCUCCAACUAGAAGAUAUCAAUAAACAAAAUAGGGGAACAAUUAGAGAGUAAAGGCUUGAGACCAAUACAUGUUGAGCCAUGGAAACACACUAAUCAUGUUGUAAUGAUUUUCCUGCUUGUGCUCUGUAGUUUGUUCAUUGUGUUUCCAAUGUAUUUGUCAUUACUGCUGUCUGGCACAACUCGUGAUGCACACAAUCUUCCUUGCUGGUUUCCAGAUGAGGUUAGUAAUUUGUGUUUUUCCCAUAGCCGCCUUUUCUUGGUAUACAUCAACUUCGAAGUUCAACUUGAUUUCCAUUGAAGUAUAACAGCGGUGAGUUUUUUUUGCAAGUUGAUUUCCUUAACACUAAAGGAGGAUAUGAUGUAGAGUUGCAAAGAAAGACACUAAAGACAUGUUUUUUUCAUUUGCAUGCAUUGUCUUUACAAAUUCUAACAAAAUAUUAUAUCCAUCGUCUAGACACUUUUCUAUGGAAACUCCUAUCAUUUCAUCGCAAAUAUAGACGGGUGCAAUGACGCGCGCCGAUCAUGAUCUAGUAUAUAAUCCCUCCGUCCGGAAAUACUUAUCGCACAAAUAGAUAAAAUUGGAUGUAUCUAGAACUAAAAUACGUCUAGAUACAUCCAUUUCCCCGACAAGUAUUUCCGGACUGAGGGAGUACUAGGAGAGGUACAUACUAAGACAUCUUAACUCUUCCAAAUACUACAUCCGCCCGGGAUUAAACGUUACACAUUAAUCAUGUGGCAGGUGCAUGGAUCUCGAAAUGUCAGCCCAAAAUUCCCUGCACGGUUAGACCAAUACCAGGCGCAGAAUGCAACUCAGGCGAUCGAGUAAGUUGCACCAUCCUGCACUGUUGAGGCCGGGGUUGAUAACCCUGAGGGCCAAGCCCCCUCCCCCUCUCCAAACACACACACAUCCACGCACGCACGCAGGCACGCACACACACACGGGAAAAGCUUAUACACAGAAUCUUACCAGCAGCGCGGUUUAAAAUAAGGCGAUACUGCUACUUACCAGUAGCGCGCUGAAAUAAAACGCGCUACUGAUACCCAUGUAGCAAUAGCGCGCUAGGAAAAAAGAGCACUACUACUACAAUUGCCACAACGUUGCCACCAGACUAGGUAUAGUAGUACCGCCGGUUUUGUAAACGCACUACUGCUACUGAACUUAGCAGCAGCGCUUUUCGCCCACCCUCGCUACUGCUAAGUUUAGUCCACUCGUUGCAAGUAAGUUUAGUCCCACCUCACUCCGCGAACAGGGUGUUUACCACCUUAAAUACGUUACUUCUCAAACCAUCACAACCACUUGGUCUUCAUUGAACUCUAUGUGUAGGAUCUGUGGCCGCAAUAGGAAUCUUCACCGGUUUAAGAACUGGUGAAGAUUCCUAUUGACAAUUUAGAUUCUACACGAAAAGAUCAUUGAUGACCAAUGUAUUUUUUAUUUUUUUACAUGCUUAGCCUUAGCACUAGCACAUUUUGCAGAAAGCGCUACUGCCUAUAGCAGUAGCGCUUCUCGAGUAAAAAGCGCUACUGCUAUGGAGUUUAGCAGUAGCGCUUUAUCGGCACUACAAAAAGAAUACACAUCCGUGACAUUUUGGGCCGAACGAAAAACAUUUCUGUCAUACUUAUGACACUUCUAUGACAAUAAUUGUGACAAAACCCGGUAUCAUCAUAGAUGUGGUGGGGUCCUACUUCUAUGACAAAAAAUCAUGAAAAAAUGGGCUUUUUGUCCUGGGUGGGCCGGAGACGCAGCUGCAUGACAUUCUUUGGGCCGUCCAUGACGGAAAAAACCGUGGUAGAAGCUAGGGCGCGGAAAAUAUCGGGGAGUUCCCGGUUACGGUGGGUGGUCGGGGGCUGAGCGGUGCGCGUUUCUCUCAUACACGUACGCGCGUGGGUGUGAGGCGUUGGGCUCUAACUGAACCCAAGCGAGGUGUUGGGCUCUAACUGAACCGAGCGAUUGCUCUGCAGGCUACGCGUUACACUGAACCCGAGCGAUCGAUCGAUCCCUUGCUGUUAACUGAACCCGAGUGAUUCCUUCGCUACUGCAGCUAACUGAAGUCGAUCGAUGCUGCCUCUGGAUGAACAGUGAGCGUUGUUGGGGGUUUGGAUGAACAGUUCCCGGUAGGGGUUGGAUGAACAGGAACCUAUGGUAGUAGGGGCCGUUGCCGCUGGAUGAACAGUACCCUGAUCGAUCGAGCCGGUAGAUGAACAGGACCCCGUGGAGGGCUGGUUGAAGAGUAGCCGGUGGAGGGCUGGUUGAACAGUAGCCGGUGGAGGGCUGGUUGAAUAGUAGCCGGUGGAGGGCUGGAUGAACAGUAGCCGGUGGAGGGGUGGUUGAAUAGGACCCCCGUGGAGAUGGCUGGUUGAACAGUAGCCGGUGGAGGAGCGCGCGGCGGAGGCUGGAUGAACAGGAUCCCGUGGAUGAAUAGUCGCUGGUGGAGGCUCGAGGAGGUCGCCGGUGGAGGAACAGUAGCCCAAGGAGGCUAGAGGAGGUCGACAGUGGAGAUGAACAGUAUCCCGUGGAGUCCCGUUUUGCGGUACGCCACACCCUUCCUGAUGAACAGGACCCCCGUUUCGACUGUAGCGCUCCAACACAAAUCCGUUUCCUCUGUUUUGCGGUACGCCACACCCCCCGAUCAACAGGACCCUGUUUCGACCGUAGGAGGUCCGUUUCCUCCGUUUUGCGGUACGCCAGACCCCUCCCGAUGAACAGCGUCCCGUUUCCACCGUGGCCGGUCGAACACAAGACCGUUUCCUCCGUUCUACGGUACGCUAGGCCUCGUUUCUAUCGCCUGUUCCGUCCAAGCCGGUUGGCUCCCGAUGAACAGCACGCGUUCCGUUGCCUCCUGAUGAACACGACCCAUUCUGUUGCCUCCCCAUGAACACGAAGACGAUGCAGUUUCUCCGUUCCGACCCAGCACACGAGCCCUGGUCGUAUGUAUGCGCGAGUAGGCGUUCGAGACCCUGCCCGUAUGUACGUACGUGGCCGUAUUUUCUCUCUUGCACCCUGGCCGCUGUACGUAUGUGUACAUGCUACGUGCGCGCAUGUACUACCACACAUGCGCGCCUCUACUAUGACACGUGCCCUUCCUUACACGGCCACGGUUCAUCGCGACCAGUACAUACGUACACGUUCGCGACCAGAAUGACAACGCUACGUAUGCUUCGACCGGGUGGGUCCCGACUGUCAGGCACUUCCUUUCAUGCGAAGAUGUAGCUGGUGGGUCCCGACAGUCAGGGGGGCGAAUCAUUUUUUUGCCCGUAAUAUGGACGCACUUCCUUGUGUGCGAAGAUAUAGCUGGUGGGACCCAGCAGUCAGGGGGAGAAAACAUUAUUUUUCAGGGUAAAAAGGAUGCAGUUGCAUGCAUGCGUCCAUGGGCGUGGUGCGUCCCCACUGUCAGCCUCUCACGUACAGUCAUCUUCCGAUGACUCUCAGUUGUUGACCACACUAUGCCGAGCGCACCAAGGCCGGUGGACGACGGCGAGGCCCCAGACUGGAACGACCCGGAGAUGGGGAAGACGCGGUAGUGGAGUUGUAGAUGGGGAGGAGUGGGAAACUUGACUGGUUCGGGUGCGCGGCAGCACUGCCGCCCACGGGAGACAGGAGCAAGAACAGAGGUUGAAGAAGGAGCACGGCUGUUGGAUUAACAUCCAAUGGUCCAGCUGCUAGAAUCAUUUGUUGAUUAAGUUGACAAAGUCCUGCGUACACGUCUGCUUAGUAGGCCCACAAGUCAGCCACCAAAUCUGCCAAGUCCCAGCUGUCAUCGGGAGGAAUGGUUUUUUUCGCAUAACAAGGAGGCACUUCCUUCCGUGCAAAGAUACAGCUGGUGGGUCCCAGCUGUCAGGGGGGAGGAAACAGCUUAAUAAGGAGGAACUUUCCUUGCGUGCGACCAUGGACCUCGUGGGUCCCAGCCGUCAGGCUCUCCACAUACAGUCCUCUUCUGAUGACUCUCGUAUGUUGACCACGCCGCGCCGAGCCCACCGAGGCGGUGGACGAAGGCGAGGCCCCAGACUGGAACGACCCAGAGAUGGGGAAGACGCGGCAGUGGAGUCGCAGACGGAGAGGAGUGGGAAACUUGACUAGUUCGGGUGCGGUGUGGGCCUACACUCGGCAGAGAAUAACAGGAGGUGCGGAGUGGAGGGAUGGCCUGGCCGUCGGCGGGGUAGCGUUUCGCUGAGGCACGCAAAACAACGCCGCUGGACGCCGGAGGCUGGAGCAGGCGGUCCCGGCAGCGCUGGGGGAAGAAGACGAGAGAUUGAAGAAGAAUGCCGGCCAUUGGAUGUAAAUCCAACGCCUUCUUAGGCUUCGACCUACUGGCCCACAUGUCAGCCAACCCAUUUGUUUUUUAGUCCAUUUGGUGGGCUGGGUGAAACAGUGAUGUAGCAUCUAUGUAGCCCGUUUAUAUAUAUGGUAGAAUUUAAAGCCCAUUUGCAUUUUUCUCAAAAUCCGCGGACUUGCUGGGCUGGGUGAAAAUAUCAUGUUGGGCUAGACGGAGAAAUGUUAUAAAAACAUAAACACAUGAUUGCACGUCUAUUACUGCAUUGGUCAGUAAAAUCUUUGCAAGCUUAUGUACGCAAUCACUAGGAGUUAACUUGCCAAGUUAUAUAUAAACAAUUAUUAUUAUUAUUUUGUAAGAACUUUCAACUUACAAAAUAAAAUAUCAUUUUAAUUUGAUGAGUUAAUAGUACGUGGGGUAUUAUUAUUUUUUAGGCUAGACGUGGGAUACUUGAGUUGGUUCUAGGGAAAAGUACUGGGAGAAAACUCAGUUUACAUCGAAAAAGAAAGUGGGAGAAAAUUCAGAUAUAGGAUUAAUGAAAACGAAAAGUAAAGGAAGUGGGAAGGUCCAUAAAAUGGUUGGACGAACGACAGGUUUAACGGAACCUUAUGAUGUUUCUAUUAUAUAUAUAUAUAUGUGUGUGUGUGUGUGUAAUAAAAUAAGAUAAAUAUAGGUACAGUUUUGCAUUCCUAUAGAAAACAUAGGUUCAGUUUUGCAUUCUUAUAGAAAAAUAGAACUGAGCUGUGCGUCGUCUUGAAAAAACAAACAUAACUUGGGCUGCUGAUGUUAUAGGCAAGCUAGGUUGGGAGGCCCAGAGGCCGCUUGAUACCUGCUGGAUCCAAAAAAUGUUGAAACAUGUCGUGGGCUGCCCAUGUUAAACAACAAAACCUAGGCCAUGGACCUGGUGGGCCCGGGACUGUCAGCCUCUCGACGGACAGUUGCCUCUCGAUUCCUCUUGUUUUGCUGACCAUGUUGGGAACGACAGAUGGCGGCGCCGCGGCGAGAGCACCAAGGCGGAGGACGACGUCGAGACCUCGGACCGAACGAACAAGAGCGGGGGAAGACGCAGGCGGAGGGGAGUACGAGGGUUGACUUGUUCGGGUGCAGGGUGGGCCGAUGGAGCCGCCGCCGCCGGAGAAUGUGUGGGAGUAGAGGGAUGGCCUGGCCAAUGCCAUAGGCCAUGAUGGCCAGCCGUUGUAUAGGAAGAGGACGGAAGAUUUUACAAAAUAAAGAAAUACAAAUGUAUAGGUGGUUGGUCCCAUAUGUCUGUGUACGAGACCUGCUGGGUCCACCUGAGAAGGGGAAUAUGUUGGGAGGAAGGAGAUUCAAAGCACGGCAGCCGAGUGAACUAGUUUUUUUAACGGACAAGUGAACUAGUUACAUACAUAAGCAAAUAGCCAUUAAAAAAAGCAAACAGGUUAAUGGGUUCUUAAAAGAAAUAUUUCGGACAAAACAGAUAAUUAUGACACAUAGGCUAAUGCAUGAAACACUCAGAUGAUAAAGGUGCUUAUAAACAGAUAAAGUACAACAUCUAGACCUUCCUGGCACGCUUGAUCAUGACGCUGCGGCUGUCCGUGUACUCAUCGGUUACGGGAAGCAGACACGCCCUCAUGUCCAAGAUCCGCCUGUACAUGUCGUAGCAUGCGUAUGCGUCCUUGGCCGCGUAGGUUAUGUAGGCUAGAAUCAGAGGUACCUCUCAUGUGUUCAGGUCCUUGGUAUCGUUGUCUUCUUUCAUGUUGGUGUAUCAGGGGUCGAUGAUGGUCUCGGCGAGGUCAACCACAGAGUCCUUCUCCUGCCCGUUGUCGAUGAUCUUGUAUUGCUUCUGGAUGUCGACAAGCUUGUUGCACCGAAUGCCGAAUCGUCGCGUUCUUCCUUCUCUCCACCGUAGCGAAGGUGCAGUCGGCGCUGCCGAUGAAACGGGCGAAUGCUCCAAAACCUCUGAUGGCCCUACAGUAGUGGUAGAUGAGAACCUCGUCCCGCACACAUACCUGGGCGACGGCGAUCCACUGGUCCCUGUCAGGAGAAGAAUGGAUGGGCACAAGGUCUAGUCCUGCGACCUUGUGCUUUCUCGUCCUGUAGGUACUGCUUGAACUUGGUGAGGCAGAGCUUCACCGAGUCCGGAUCGUUGGUGUACAUCACAUUCAACUUGGUGCAGCCAUAGGAUUGAACGGCGAACUCAAAGGGGAACUCCUUGCUGAAGUCCAUAUCCAGCAGGCUCACCCCUCGGAUCGCCAUUGGAGUCUCUUUAAGUGAACGAGUGGGUAGGCGGCGGCAGCAGUUCGCUUUUUAGCUCUUGGGGAACUGGAUUCAACAGUAAAGAAACCUACUCCGGCCACACGUCGAUUCACGAGCGGGUCUGUAUUGGUACUGUAAUAACAAGAGUUAGUGGUCACUUUACUUAAAUUUAAUUAGCUUUAAUAGAAAUUUAUACUUAAAACAAGUAAUGCAUUGGCUCGUUCUAUCAGUGCCACAGGAUCAACAUGCACAACAAUUAGAAUUAUUAUUCUCAGGACGCACACGAUCAGCACAUUUUUCGCACUUUCACACAGAUAAUACUACCAAGUUUGAACUGUUUGUUAUGGUUGUUGUCCUCUGCAUCAUCAUGCCGUGUUUCCCAGCUUGCAAGAUUCAGAACCAACAAAUAAGAUCCAAAUAAUAAAUAAAACAAAGAUGCCUACACAUCUCAUUGAUUCCCAGCUUGCAAGAUUCAUAACCAACAAAUAAGAUUCAAAUAAUAAGUACAACAAAUAUGCCUACACAUCUCAUUGAUUCCCAGCUUGCAAGAUUCAGAACCAACAAAUAAGAUUCAAAUAAUAAGUACAACAAAGAUGCCUACACAUCUCACUGAUUCCCAGCUUGCAAGAUUCAGAACCAACCCAUUAGAGCCUUUUGAUAAAGUGAAUAUCGGGAUUAAAUCCAUCUUGGCUAGCCGUGUCAUACAACCGAAGAACUUGGCGAAUGCUCUUGACCCUCACAACAUCUGUAGUUGAGUAUUCCUAUUUGCACAGCACAAACAAGAAGAGCAUGAUUACUAUAAUAGUGGCACUCCUUGAACUCAACCUGCAGCUCUACUCGGAUGAGGCCUGCCUGGAGUUCCACGAUUCAAUUCAUGCGCCUUUUUCUGCAGUUCACCUGAAAUGAAGCAAAGAUUGCAUCAUUCAGCUAGCAAGAAGUACUUGCUCUCGUGAGCUGGCAGGUUCUUCUUUAGUAGUUGCACUAAAAUUGAGGAACAUUAAAGUUGGCUAUCCGGCUCAUGUAAGGUGCAACUAUAAUUUGCUUAUCCUUUUGUGCAGUUCCACUAAAAUAAAGUGCCAUUGUGGUGAAAGUGACGGCUCAUCUUGCAAAGUCUAAUAAAAUGUUGCACGAGAUUACCAGCAGAACUUGACGGAGAUUUUGGAAACUCCAAUCACCAUUUUGUGCAGUUCCACCAAAAUUGAGAGAUGUUGCCCACGUGACAUUUUAGUUGAACUGCACAAGGCACUCAUUCCAAAAAAAAAGUGUUUUGUGCAGUUCACCAAAAGGUCACAAUAGCCACAAGGUGAAAUAGAUAUCCCUAUCUGCAUAAAAAGAUAGAAAGUAAACAGUUGCUGGUCAAUAAGAAUAUACGAAACAUACACGAAAUGAAAAGAAGCAUCUUAAGUAUGUUCAUGCCAAUCACGCAAGGACAGUAGAAAUUUUAAAACGUCAGCAAUGCUUCAUGUUACCGGAAGCAUUACGAUCAACAAUGACAUUCGUCAAAUAUGGGAUUACUGUAAUGGUGGCAUUGCUUGUUUACCAGAUACAGUAAAUCAACAGCAGCUAAAGAGUUGGUUUAAGGGCAUGGGACCGUGGGGACACCAGGACACUCAGCCGCGUAAAGGAGCAACUUACUUAUCAUACUGGGGGAAACAACUGGAGUACCAUUUGUAACAUAGUUUAAUUGCAUCUUAUCACUGGAGGCAUUAGAUUAACAAUAACACUGGUUAGACAUGUCCCUAAGGUAACAGUGUGAUCGCUUCAUUUUAUAUGCGUCCUUACAUUAACAACAGCAAAAGGUUGGUAUAAGGAUAUGCGAUAGUGGACGCAUCAGCACAAUGUACCUACAAGGAGGCAUAAAGUGAGGGCAGCAAAUCUAAUCCUGGAGACCUUUUACUAUGUGAGGGCAGCAAACCUAGUCCUAGAGAGCUUUUACUAUGUGAGGGCAGCAAAUCUAAUCCUAGAGACCUUUUACUAUGUGAGGGCAGCAAAUCUAAUCCUGGAGACCUUUUACUAUGUGAGGGCAGCAAAUCUAAUCCUGAGACCUUUUACUAUGUGAGGGCAACAAUUCUAAUAUUGGAGACCUUUACUAUGUGAGGGCAACAAAUCUAAUCCUCGACAUACUCUGUUGACUUGUCCACCAGCCGCCACUUUCUAUCCUUUUUUCAACCAAUAAUAGAUCUGUUCCUUAUCUAGUUUGUACUGCGUUUUCCCAUUAUUUCCCUUCACUACAAGAAAUAUGUCAACUAGUGACCUUCUGUCAGUGACCCUGGAAGAAUUGGUCAUAGAUCUAUGACCAUUUCAGACCAAUUGGUCAAAAGCUGUUCGGGGGGCUCCAAACCCUAAACAAUAACGACCAUUUUGGUCAGAAAGGUCGUAAUUUCCUUACACGAAAUGGUCAUAAAGCAGAUAGCACUGGUCCGCUGCCUUAUUUCUAGCUGAUCAUGACCAAUAUAGAUGGUCAUAACCUUGUAAAUUGUGGUGGGUUGCUAUGACUAGGCGCCACCUCAUCAGUUUUGCCUAUGUGUCAUGUCCAUGUGGCAGUUUUUGCCCUAGGUUGUGAAGCAACCAAUAUUUCUGUCAUUCCGAAAAUUCCCAAAAAAAUCUCAUAAAUUCUUUGAGUCAUAUCUUCGUCAAAUAUGUAAAAAACCUUCCUUGCCUAGUUCAAAACUAGUUCAAAAAUAUUCAUUUUCCUAUUUUGUUCAAAAAAACACUUUGUGAAGGAAGUACCACUUUGGCAUGUCCAGAUAGUAUCCAUUUUCUACAGUGCUUUCCUAUGCCCAAAUAACCAUCCUACACCAAAUGCUAGGUCAAUCCAUUCAUUAUUUUGAGCCCAGCUUCAAUAUUCGUAUUUAUGUCCAGUGUGGUACUUUGAAAAGCAAGUACCACCUAGGCUCCUCAUUUUGAGCUGAAAUUUUGUGAAGACGGUCUUCUUUGUAACUGAUCAUCCUCAGCCAAAACUCAUGCCCAUUAGCCAUCUGCAUUUCCCGUACCGCUAAUCAAACACUUGGGUGCUUAUUCAUGUUUGAGCAUCGAUCGGUCUCCUCGUGAGAAUCUUAUGUUGUGAUUUUCUUCCUAGCACAUACCUGGGGAGUGCCCAACCCACUAGACAUGCCUAGGCCGCCCAAAACACAUGGCAACGCCACGGUCACGCGGUGACCUCGCGGCGGGCAUGCGAGUUUACGCGCUCUAGAGUUGGGGCCCUCGGCCAUCGUCCAAACCUCAACGUAUCGCCACCAAACCAUGUAUUUCUGAUUUAAUAGGUACUUAUGUAACUAGAAAUGAUUUUUGGAAAAAAAAUAAAUAGCAAACUAUGAGGCAGCUGCAAUUCAAAUUUGACCCGCUUCCUACUGAAUCGGCGAGAAUUUGUCUUUUUCACCAGAGGUGGAUCAAAACUUUUGACACCCAACCAUUUUGUCAAUUGUGCAUUAAAUAUGUCCUAGUAUUUUAGAAAAUUGAUUUGGUCCAAUUUUGCAACAAAUAUAUGGUAGGUCCUUCACAAAAAAUACUCAUUUCAGGCACUCGGAAAAUGGAAAAUGAAUUUUCCGUGCAAAGAAGUGAAAACUCCUUUAGGCAACAUUGUUUGGAAUUCCCAGACGCACCCUUUGUGCACAAUAUGAGAUCAUUUGAACAAACUAUGCCAUGAAUGUGGCCAUAAGAUUGAUCAUUUGGCUUGAAAGCCAUGAAUCUUCACGCAUGAUAGCCCAUUUAUGAGAACACUUUUUUAAAAUAAUUUCCAUAUUACAAGUUUAUUAUUGUUCGUGGAAACUUGGCCACAUAUAAUGACACAAUGCGAAGGUUUUCCAUUUUUUGAUUUUUUUUUUGAAUUUUUUAUGCCCGUUUCAAAAUGCGGUCAAAAUGGCGGGCUUAACCGUUCCUAGCUAGUGGUUGAAACUUGGAAAACAUUUGAUGUUUCCCUGAUUAAAUAGAUACUUAUGUACCUAGAAAUGAUUUUUGGAAAAAAUAAAGAACAAACUAUGAGGCAGCUACAGUUCAAAUUUGACCCGCUUCAUGUUGAAUCGGCUAAAAUUUGUCUUUUUCACCUGAGAUGGACCAAAGCUUUUUACACCCAACCAUUUUGUCAAUUGUGCUUUAAAUAUGGCCUACUAUUUAAGAAAAUUGAUUUGGUCCAAUUUUGCAACAAAUAUAUGGUAGGUCCUUCACAAAAAACCUCAUUUCGGGCACUCAAAAAAUGGAAAAUGAAUUUUUCGUGCAAAGAAAAUGAAAACUUCCUUAGGCAACAUUGUUUUGAAUUCCAAGAUGCACCCUUUUGCACAAUAUGAGAUCAUUUGAACAAACUAUGCCAUGAAUGUGGCCAUAAGAUUGAUCAUUUGGCUUGAAAGCCAUGAAUAUUCACGCAUGAUAGCUCAUUUCUGAGAACACUUUUUUAAAAUAAUUUUCAUAUUUCAAGUUUAUUAUUUUUCCUGGAAACUUGGCCACAUAUAAUGACACAAUGCGAAGGGUUUCCAAUUUUUUUAUUUUUGAAUUUUUUAUGCCCGUUUCAAAAUGCGGGCAAAACGGCGGGCUUGACCGUUCCUAGGUAGUGGUUGAAUCUUGAAAAACAUUUGAUGUUUCUCAUAUUAAAUAGAUACUUAUGUACCUAGAAAUGAUUUUUGGAAAAAAUAAAUAGCAAACUAUGAGGCAGCUACAGUUCAAAUUUGACCCGCUUCCUACUGAAUCGGCAAAAAUUUGUCUUUUUCACCAGAGACAGACCAAAGCUUUUGACCCCCAACCAUUUGGUCAUUUGUGCAUUAAAUAUGGCCUAGUAUUUUAGAAAAUUUAUUUGGUCCAAUUUUGCAACAAAUAUAUGGUAGGUCCUUCACAAAAAAACCUCAUUUCGGGCACUCGAAAAAUGGAAAAUGAAUUUUUCGUGCAAAGAAAAUGAAAACUCCCUUAGGCAACACUGUUUUGAAUUCCAAGAUGCACCCUUUUGCACAAUAUGAGAUCGUUUGAACAAACUAUGCCAUGAUUGUGGCCAUAAGAUUGAUCAUUUGUCUUGAAAGCCAUGAAUCUUCACACAUGAUAGCUCGUUUCUGAGAACACUUUUUUAAAAUAAUUUCCGCAUUACAAGUUUAUUAUCCUUCCUGGAAACUUGGCCACAUAUAAUGACACAAUGCGAAGGUUUUCCAUUUUUUUGAUUUUUUCUGAAUUUUUUAUGCCCAUUUCAAAAUGCGGUCAAAACGGCGGGCUUGACCGUUCCUAGCUAGUGGUUGAAUCUUGGAAAACAUUUGAUGUUUCUCUGAUUAAAUAGAUACUUAUGUACCUAGAAAUGAUUUUUGGAAAAAAUAAAUAGCAAACUAUGAGGCAGCUACAGUUCAAAUUUGACCCGCUUCGUGCUGAAUCGGCGAAAAUUUGUCUUUUUCACCAGAGAUGGACCAAAGCUUUUGACACCCAACCAUUUGGUCAUUUGUGCAUUAAAUAUGGCCUAGUAUUUUAGAAAAUUGAUUUGGUCCAAUUUUGCAAUAAAUAUAUUGUAGGUCCUUCACAAAAAAACCUCAUUUCGGGCACUCGAAAAAUGGAAAAUGAAUUUUUCGUGCAAAGAAAAUGAAAACUCCCUUAGGCAACAUUGUUUGGAAUUCCAAGAUGCACCCUUGUGCACAAUAUGAGAUCAUUUGAACAAACUAUGCCAUGAAUGUGGCCAUAAGAUUGAUCAUUUGGCUUGAAAGCCAUGAAUCUUCACGCAUGAUAGCUCGUUUCUGAGAACACUUUUUAAAAAUAAUUUUCGUAUUACAAGUUUAUUAUUUUUCCUGGAAACUUGGCCACAUACAGUGACACAAUGCGACGGUUUUCCAAAUUUUUGAUUUUUUUUGAAUUUUUAUGCCCGUUUCAAAAUACGGUCAAAACGGCGGGCAUGACCGUUCCUAGCUAGUGGUUGAAUCUUGGAAAACUUUUGAUGUUUCUCUGAUUAAAUAGAUACUUAUGUACCUAGAAAUGAUUUUUGGAAAAAAUAAAGAGCAAACUACGAGGUAGCUACACUUCAAAUUUGACCCACUUCCAGCUGAAUCGGCGAAAAUUUGUCUUUUUACCGGAGGUAGAUCAAAACUUUUGACGCCCAACCAUUUGGUCAAUUGUGCAUUAAAUAUGUCCUAAUGUUUUAGAAAAUUGAUUUGAUACAAUUUUGCAACAAAUAUAUGGUAGGUCAUUUACAAAAAAAAUUAUUUUGGACACUCAAAAAAUGGAAAAUUGUUUUUUCAUGCAAAAGAAAUAAAAACUCCCUUUGUCAAUGUUGUUUGCCAAUCUAAGAUGAAACUUGUGCAAAAUAUGACAUCAUUUGAACAAAUAUUAUAUAGGUCUUUAAAAAAAGUCAUUUUAAGCAUUGAAAAAUGGAAUAAAAAUUUUGUAUGUAAUCAAUCAUGACCAAUUUAUAUGGUCAAAAAAUCGUCAAAUUGUUUGGUGCGCUCUGAUUGGUCCAUAGGCAUAUCACGCGGAUCAUGCAUCAAUCACCGUCGGAUGCAUCUGGAUCCAACGGCAGCCCUCGCCCCCUCACCCUCUCACCCAAACCCUAGCUUCCCCGAUCCACUCCUCUCCCCAGAUCCACUCUCCCCCUCUCGUCCCACAGCCGCCACCCCCAACCCUCUCGAUCCCCAACCACCAAGCCGCCGCUGGCGCCGUCCUCCGUCCUCUCCCCCAACCCUGGCCGCCGGCAACCCCUCCCCUUCUGUCCCACGGCCGCGGUCGGAUCCGCGCUCCCUCCUCACUCAUGACCUAGANNNNNNNNNNNNNNNNNNNNNNNNNNNNNNNNNNNNNNNNNNNNNNNNNNNNNNNNNNNNNNNNNNNNNNNNNNNNNNNNNNNNNNNNNNNNNNNNNNNNNNNNNNNNNNNNNNNNNNNNNNNNNNNNNNNNNNNNNNNNNNNNNNNNNNNNNNNNNNNNNNNNNNNNNNNNNNNNNNNNNNNNNNNNNNNNNNNNNNNNNNNNNNNNNNNNNNNNNNNNNNNNNNNNNNNNNNNNNNNNNNNNNNNNNNNNNNNNNNNNNNNNNNNNNNNNNNNNNNNNNNNNNNNNNNNNNNNNNNNNNNNNNNNNNNNNNNNNNNNNNNNNNNNNNNNNNNNNNNNNNNNNNNNNNNNNNNNNNNNNNNNNNNNNNNNNGCAUGGCGGCGGCCAGAUCCACCCCGUCCCCCUCCCUCCCAUCUCGAUCCGCUGUCACCCCCACCGUCGACGACCCGCGACAGCGGCAGUGGUCUCGCGAGCCAGAUCAUAAGGACGUCCCCUUCCUCCCGAUCUCAUCGUGCUCCUCUCGAGUGUAUUUGGUUUUGAUCGGCCGGCGACCCCAUGGCGUCCAUCGUGGUGAUCGGCCUGGUGCUGCUCCUCGACAUCCUCUCCUUCGUCCUCGCCAUCGGCGCCGAGCGUCGCCGGAGCACGGUGAGCCGCACCAUCUCCUGGCCAACUCGUUCAAGCAUCUGUCUAUGUAUGCGUAUGUGCUCAGGCCGGAGGCAUCGGGUUCUUGAAUCUUGAUUGGGGAAACUGGGUGCAGGCGCAACUCGGCGAGGCCGAGCCUGGUGGCAGGCGGUACUGCGUGUACGACACGGAUGCGUCCACCUGGUACGGCGUCGGCGCACUCGCCCUGCUGCUGGUCGGGCAGACUAUCGCCAUGGUGGCCAGCCGGUGCUUCUGCUGCGGCAGCGCUGUCCCCCGACCGCUGGCGCUUCUUCUCCGGCCUCUGCUGGUAAGUCAGACGAUUUACAAAUCCUGAUGCCUGAUCUCAUCCAUCCAUGGUUGAUCGCUAGUUUCCAGCCUGCCGAUUAGUAUCUACUGCUGCUGCUUAUUUGUUCGUGCGAUUGCGCCCCUGUAGUUCAGGCCUUUUGCGGUCGCACACCUGAUCGCGCUGAUUGAGCGGUGCGCUGGUUAAUUAUUGCAAGCACCAUCUGGAUCGAUAUGUUUAAUCACACAUGUCUGCGCCCUAUAGGCAAUGCAUGUUUCCCGUGCUUAUGAUUUAGGAGGAUGCCCUUUGGCUGUCACUCAUGCUUUCACUCAUUUAUUUAUUCUUGCAAGUUCGGUACACAUUGUCGUACUACUACUAGUGCUUGUAUGUUCAGCUGUCAAAUUUUCUCUUCCCCACCAUGGAGUACUUACUAGUGGAAGGGAAUGAUGCUGCAUUAGCAUACACUUAGAGUCUGUACAUACAUAUUACACAGUAAUUUUGAACAAAUUUGAUCCUUCAAUCUGCUCUCUAGCACUUAAAAAUUCAUUUGGUGCCUAAUUGGUAGGCUUCCUCUGUUUCCUUGCUGCAGGUAUUUACCAGGGUGGUGCGUGGAAGGUCAGGGUUGAACUUACAGAAGCUUACCCCUACAAAUCGAUAUAUCAGAACUAGUUUACUAGUCUUGACUUUGAGGAUUUUUACUAACUGAAGCACCACAUUUUUGCUGUUGUCCUGCUGUUGCUGCAGACCUUGUGAAUAUCUUUGAGGUGUUCCUGCCUCAGCUUCUCCUGUACCCUAACCCCUCGGACCCGUGACUCCUACAUGCUCCUUUUCUAGCAUGGCACGAGGUCCAGGCCCCUGGUAUUUCUUUUUUGCCAUGCACGCGCCGGCAUGUCUGCCUGCCUGCCCGUGCCAUGCCACGCCAUUGCUGCAGCACCACUGAUCUGUUCUACCAGCAUUAAUAAUAAGUGUGUCUAAGUGUGUCCUGCUGAACCUGACAGUAGCUACCACUGUCAGUGCACCUGUGCUUGCCAUUUUCUGUGUUACUCAUCUGUCCCAUAAGUUUGCAUUACUCUGCAUAGAGCUUGCUUCAAAACAUUGCAUUGUCCGAGUGAGUUUGGGGUUUACAGUAUUCAUAUUGUCUGAUGUUGAGUUUGUGUCACUCUGCAUGCCCAUACUAUUAGCUUCCGUUCUUCAUUGCUGGUGCUGAUAAUCACCAGUGUCCGAGUAAGCGUGGAGUUUACAGUAUUAAUAUCGUGUGAUGAUGAGUUUGUGUCACUCUGCAUGCAUGCCGAGUUCUCCAUAAGCAUUGCUUUGCUACUCUGCUUUCGUUCCUCGCUGCUGCUGCUGGUAAUCACUUUGGCGGUACAAGCCUUUUAGGUGAUACAUCGUCAACAAAACAUGCUAAGCUUGCCUAUUCGAUACACAUGCUUAGGCACAAUCGUUAGGACCGGGCUCCGCGCGGCAAGGCGCGCUACAGGUCUAGUAAAACAUGAGGUCUAGUACAACAUGACAGUCAUAAAGUUGCAUUAUUUAGCCACUGGUAGGGUAGGAUAUACCCUAAUGUGGUCAGUAUAGGAACCAGGGUCCCCUAAUUGCUAGCAAAACUUAUGUAAUGAGCUCUUGUUACCUUCUACUAAUGUUUAGUCUUGUUUUUUUAGUACUUCUGUAUUGGUAUCCAGAAAUAAAAUUCAUAUGUUUAUAUAUAUGUUCUUUUAUAUAAGUAUGUCAAUACAUAACUAGUAAUGUAAAUGGUGUGACGCAGUUCUAAAUAAAAAUGCAAAUAGCUUGUGAAUGUCAAUCUCAUGUGAGUCAGUCAAGGAACUUACUAUAUUAGUCUCUUAGACCAAUACACGCUUUUCUGUAACUUUAGAUAUUUUCCAAAAUACUUUGCUUGGUCCUUCAUAUCUAAAGCUUGCAUGUACUAUAGAAGCUCUACUUUAUGCUAAUACUUGCUUGUGUAACAUCUUUCAUGGCAUACUUCUAAAUGGACAAGUACGUGCGACGUCCAGCGUCAACGAUGAUGCGGACCAUAUGUUCAACUGCAGCCCCAUCCAUUCCAUCGACACAAAGGUAUGUACUCUGUCUUGCUGAACAGAUAUGGGCUUGAUGCUUGAUGUCCUUAUGCCUGAUGCAUGUAUCAUGUCACAUACACAUAAUUAACUUUGACAUAGUUGCUCUGUUACAGCAGAUGGCAAGAUGAAUAGCUAGUGUCUGUUUAAUUCCAUCAUGCACCUGGUAGUUUAAUAGGUACUAUUGAUUGAAUAUGAAUGUUAUUCCAUAUACUCAACUGGAACUUCAAUCUGCUGUAACUUUGAAUGAUGGUUUUUAAACCUUGUCGUGUAUGUGAAACAUUCCAUGCUCGUUUGCUGCUAAGUUUGUCAUAUGUGCCAAUUCAAUUCCCAAUUUUGAUCAAUAGCCAUAUUCUGGAUAAGUAGAAUGAUCUGGUUAAUAAUAAUAAUAAGUAGAAUGAUAAUAUACUGGUGUAUCUUUACCUUUUAUUUUAAAAGUACUCUGUAUUCUAUCAGUGACAUACCUUUUGUUCUCUUUUGAAUGCUCAGAUGUUUUGCAUCAGCCUGUCAUUGCUUGCUAAGGGAGAAGCGGGACUUGGAGAAGAAAUCUUUCCAUUAAGCAGAUUACAUGUUUGGUUGCUGUGAAGUACCAGAUAGGCUAGUUCUAUUUUUUUCACGAUCCUGGAGUAUUUCAGCAGCGCCAUGCAAAUGCAGUAGCGUUAGGUUUCUGAUUCACCUUUUGUAAAAACUUAGUUAGCCCGCAGUCAGUCAGUAGUAGCUCAGCCAGCCAGCCAGCCUCAAAUAGUAUUGCUGGAAUGAAUGGUUGUAAUAUAAUAACAUUGCACGUUGCUUUGAAAAUGUAUCAGAACUGGGCUAGGCCCAAG
rnacentral:lncRNA from 1 species